rnacentral:lncRNA from 1 species
AUGUAUAAGCAAAUUAAUAUAAAUGUAUUUUUGAAAGAAAAAAAUGUAAUUGAUAACGAGGUUGUAUUUUGAGGAAGAACUCGGGUAUUAAAUUUGAGAAUUGUAUGUAAAAUGUGUAUGUUCAAGUGUUGAAAUAGCUAGGUUUAACUUUCUUGCUCUCGUGAUAUGCCUUCGUGUAGAACUGUAUUAUGUUGUUUUUCCUGGGUGAAAUUCAAUGUACUUGUUUUGUUUAUGCUUUGGGCGGAUAAGGAAAACUCCGUCCGUUCAGCGGUUUGUGUACAUGCCCGAACCGACCCAAGUGGCGGUGCCGUGGCGUAAUAGAUAAGAGUGGUAUCAGAGCGUAGAAACAGUCUAGGAGGACCUGGGAAAACUUAGGUUUGGAAAACCGUAAGAACCUAGGCUCGUGAGUGGACGGAACUUAUGGUGAAAGUGAAAUGAUUGGGUCAAGAUGUGUCUCAAAUAGUAUUUUGGAGGUGGAUUAAAAGUGUUGCAACUACUCUAUUUAGAUGAUCAUGUUGGCUGCAGACAACAUGAUGUUGAAAGUAGAGUAAGGGUGCCCUUCUAUGACUUUCGCUUGAUUGGGUCAGCUAUUGUGCGCGACGGAAUUAAGUUCGAUCAUUGGAUCGCCUAGGUACGUGCGUUAUCCCUCGAGUGACGAUAGAAGUUACUUGGUGGAGCGGAUCUUGCGGAAGAUUAGAUAGCCCUCCGAUGUUGCGAACGAAGUGUCGCUAAGGGCAUGAGGCUUCCCGUUGUGGUCGAGAUGUUUGGUCUUGAGGAGCCAAUGUGUGUCUUGACUUGGUGUUAGGACUGUAGUUGUGGAAAUUUGAUAAUUCUCAUCUUAGUGGACCUGGAGACGUUUGCCUCAGCUAAGAUGGGUAAUGGAUGCAAUGCGUGACCCUGAGUGAUGGAUGUGGUGCACGAUCCUUGAUAAUAGUUGCAAAGGCACGACCCAUGGGGAAACGGCAUAGGUAAGACUGGACUAUGGUCGGAUAACGAGAAUGAACUAGCAAAGUGGCGACGGUUGAAAAUGGAGCCGAGUUGAUAGGGUCGGUAAGUGGAACAUUCCGGGAGGAUGGCCUCGUUUUUCCAAGGCAGGGAAACAUGAUGUGACUCGUAGGAGCAUGUCAGUUCAGGUUGGUUAUUAAGUAUAGCAUGUUUUACACACUAUAUUGAAUGUGUUAGCGGUUAAUUCUCUACGGGAUUUUAAGUUGAGUGGGUGCGAGGAUUGAGAUUUUUUCUGUAUAGAUAAAUGCACUGUUAAUGAUGUUUUUAUGUAUAUUUUAUUUCUAAAAUAGCUGGUCAAAUUUCAGCGAAAAAUGAAUUAAAAUAAGGCUGUUAUGCGAUUUUUAUUAUUUACUUAAGUGAAUAGUAACUCGUGUUUUCGUUUGAGGCCAUUGAGUGUAAGAUGGCUCUGUCACAUACCGGUACUUUGUUUUGGGUUAUCCAAUAGGCCGUUUUGUUGGUCCGACUAUGCUGGAGUUAACGACGCUGACGGGUUUUGAGUUUAACACAUAGUUUUCGAGAAAAGUGAAUUUUAUCGCAAAAAAGACAUUUAUUUCUCAUUAUUUUUGCUUUUUAUAACCAUAUGGUGCACCAUUUUGCGUGAAAACCCAUGGGCGGGGAUCUUUCUGCGAGAGAUGGCAGUGGAGAGGGACCAGAUUGUAAUUAUUGAGGAUUGGAGGAGUUUUGAGUGAUUAUUCUUUUAAAUGUCAAUUAGGAUUAGGAUUAAGAGUAAUUAGGGUUAAAGGAGCCUAGAAACCCUAGCCCUAACCCCUAAUCUCCUCAUACUUGGUCCAUCAGAGAGAUUGUUGCCAUUGUCCUCGCUGCCGCCGGCCGCCGGAGAAGAAGAAAGUCCCAAUUCUUCUUUUCCUCUAUCUCUUUUUCUCUCUCCAAUAGCCUUGUGAAGGGGGUGACCUAAGUCUCCUUGCAACUAGCCACCAUCGACUGAGACCGCCAGCGGCGUCACCACCGGCCCCCGGCGCCCGCCCCUGUGCAACCCUCGGUGCUGCCCUGCCCUGGGGAGCUACCGCGGCCAAGGGCAAGGCCGCAGACCCCGUGCGACCGUGGGGAGCCACCCGACCGACGCCGCCGCACCGCGACGCCUCAUGUUGUCGCUGUCGGUCCCAGGGAGGCCACCGACGCCAUCCCAGCUACCCCCGAGCCGCCGCGGCGAUGUUGAGCUCAGCCCUAGCCGCGAGACUGCUUGAGAGCGCUACUGCCGUGCCGCACCGCCGCUGCCUCCCGCCGCCGGCCAAGGCCACCAAUCACCUCCCCUGAGUGCGGUGACCCUUCCCUAGCCGGAGCCUGCCCUGCCGUGCCACCAGCUGCUCCUUGCUAAAAGCCUUAGCUCGACUUGAACUAAAACCAGGGGCUAAUCUUGCGCGAUCUUCGUUUUUCAGCCACCAAUGACUUCGCCGAGCAUCGAAAGUGUGAGCACCGCACUUCUCGGUUCCUGUGGAGUCCCGUGCUCACCUUCUCUGUGAUCAAUGAAGUUCCAGUGCUCGCGAUGAACUCGGCCGUUUCGGGAUCAAGCAAUCAGAGGAUUUUCUCGUUGUUUUGGGCCUUUUCGGUCAUCGGUUGCGCUCCGGACAAUGAGCACGAGCAUUGUUGCAUCAAGACGAAUCACAUUGACUAGUUGGCUGGAUCCGUUGCGACGCGGAUUGGGGUAACGAGCUUGAAACUUGAUUCUAUGUAUUAUUUGAUUAACGGUUAGUGCACUAGUUGAGUUGUUUGUGAGUGUUAUAAAGUGGGAGCCCUAUGCUCUGCCUCGGACAAUGUGAAAAUUGUUUGUGAGUGUUAUAAAGUGGGAGCCCUAUGCUCUGCCUCGGACAAUGUGAAAAUGCUAUUAGCCACCUCAUGACUGAUCGUCAAAGGUCCGGGAGCCGUGUGGAGUGAAAACGAGGUUCCAGGGCAUCGUUUGGGCGAAAUUCGUCGAUCGGACGUGGGUUGUUUUGUGGGUUUUGAUGUUCUAGCAUUAUGGAUAGCUUGAGAACCCCACCAUGCCUCGUUGGCUGGUUGGAACCUUGCUGGUGCGAAGUACAGACCAGCGAUGGAUCCUACGUGGGUUUCGGAGUAAAAAAUGAUGAUUUCCUGGAACCCGGUACGCUGGAUUUUAGGGUUUUUGCACCUGGAUCGCACUGCUUAGCGUGCGAAUGUACUAACACCCAAAAGUGAGUGUUUUGGGACAGUGAGGAAAGUUAAAUGACUUUCGGAGUGUUUCAAAACACUUAGGGGCUUAAUGGAAGCCCGAAGUCCGAAGAUUGGGCGGUUCCGAGCGCAGUUUCUUGUUGCGUGGGUUGCUGUUGUUCGCAGCAGGGUAUGAGCCUUAUUGGCUGGUUUUGUGUGAGGUUUCAUACCUCUGGUCAUAGCAAGAGGGUUGCGGGUGGUUCCGGUGUCGAAAUGGGCAUCUCGGGAAACAAACUGGUGAUUUUUGGGAUUUCAAUUUUUUGUUUAGGCGCACUACUAGUGCGGCUGCCCCAAUAACAUUAAAAUGAUGUGUUGGGACAGCGGGUGAGGUAGGAUAAGUGUGGUACUCUUUUCGUGAGACCUCGUGGGUUGGGGUGGUUUUCCGACAAGUUGGCGCGACAAUCGAGCAAUUUUUCGGUGACCGUUGAAUGGGAUUCGAAAAUUCGAUUGUUCACCUAUUUGGAUUCCUAUAGAAUUAUAAGCUUCUGUAAUUACUGAGUUUGGGCUCAUUACAAUUUUGGUUGGGACUUUGCAUAGAUUCGGACUGCGAGUGGCAUUGAUGUGAGGUCGACGACCCGAUUUCAUUCUAUGGUACAGGUGGGUACUUCGAUCCGAAGUUCGUAAAGUGGUGCCGACUCGGUGAUUUCUAUCCCUUUUAUCUCCUUUCAUUUACUUGAUACUGGUUGAGCUUUCAUACAUUUACUUGACUUCGUAGCUAGUUGCUAUACACCCACUCUUAUAUCAUAUUAUCGUAAUUUAAGUGGUAGAGCGAUAUUUUUUGGUGAUUGAGUUAUCUGUUGUAUGAUUAUAAUAGAUGAUCUUGAUAUUAGUGACUUUAUGAUCGGUGACAUUCUUAGUUAUCUAUUUCAUGAUAUGACAUUAGUUGACACUCGUUCUCGGUGACACUUCCAGAUGUGUAUUGUAUGAUAUGACAUUAGUUGACACUUGUUGUCAGUGACAUUCCUAGAUGUGUAUUGCAUGAUAUGACAUUAGUUGACACUCAUUGUUGGUGACACCUCUAGAUGUAUAUUGCAUCUUAUGACAUUUGUUGACCUUGUGAUUGGUGACACUUCUAGUGGUUUAUUGCAUGACUUGACAUUAGUUAACCUGAUGGUUGGUGACACUCUUAGAUAGAGCUGGACUUGAUUGGUCGGUGACUCUUUGUGGGUUACUCUUUCGGUAAGUUGCCGUUGUUGGCUAUUGAGGAUAUUACAGGUCGUGAGCAUCUUCACGUACACCAGCGGUCUGAUCUACCGCAAAAGGAUGUUCUUUUCCAAAAAAAGUGGCCGUACUUUGGACCUGUGAGCGCUAUGAGGUGCUUGUCAGGAUUAUAUGCCAAGUGGACGAGCAGAAUAUGAUUUAGCCUGAGGUCUUUAGACCAGUAUCGCAGUUGACAUCGUUGUUGGCAUUAUUGAUCCAUUUGAUGCAUUGGUGUACUCUAUUAUUCUUUACAAUAGCUUAUAGUUAUGUCUUGAUUAGUAGUUGUAGUUUCUUUCUGGUCAUUAUUGCUACUAUUUCGAUGCUCCUACUUGUUAUGUCUAUUUGUCUACUCUAUCUUAUAGUAGCAGUUAUUGUUGCGUUUAUUACCAGUUGUUAUUCCAUUGCUAUUGUACCUGAUUCACUUGUUUACUACUGUUGGUUGUCUCUUCCGUCUGCCGGUGAAUACAGCUUGUCUUCGUCGACUUGCGGUACCCAUUGAGAGGGGAGACGUGUUUACAUGUUCUCACCGCUGACUAUUUUUUUAGGUUAACAUUAGCGGUGAGGGUCGGGACGGUGCGUGAGGACGAUACUAGAUAGUUAUGUUUCAAAUCUAUCCGUUGUUGAUAUGUAUUAUCUUUCUACUGGAUUAGUUCGGGAUCGUCUGCUGGACAGAUACUUUAGUCCAUAGGAAAAUACUUUAGUCCAUGGGCAAAUACUUUAGCCCAUCACGUGACAACCUCCGGAGUGCACUGUUUGGGUGGAGCGACCACCACCAAGCUCAAAACAGACUAGGUGAGUAUGAUCUGAUCCUCCUUUAGAGGAUUCAACCACAGACAAUGUCACACUUUAACUUUAACUAGCUCUUUAUGCUAGUUGCAAUUUCAUUUCUCUAUGCUAACCAAAUCUCUAGUUAGAAUGUCACCAAGUUCACUAUUGUUAUAGUCCAUACAUUCAUAGAGUUCUAUGUUCACAUUCUAAUGUUCACAUGUUCUCACUGUCGAUAGGGAUUCAUACUUUCACUUGCACAAUGCCAAUACCCUAUAAUGCAUGACUACAAAUAUAAAUAUGCUCAAUGAAUUAUCAUAGACAUAAAAGGUGAUUCAAAGAUUUCGGAUAGCACCACCCACCUGUAGUGGUGUCAAUGAGCUAAGAUCAAUGUCUCGGAAUGCGUUGACAACUAUUUCUUGCAACUCAGUGCAAAUCGAACUAGAACGGUCUCUACCGUAAGUAGCGUGUCGUCGCCCUGUCGGAAAGUCAAUUUAUACUUUCGAGCAUGUUUAACUUUCAUUUAUAAAGGAUUAAAGGAAUUUAAGCUAGAGUCAUAUUCUCAUAUUUUUCAAGUUAACAUUUCCAUUCCUCAUAAAAUGUCAACUCAAAGAAGAUUUCAGCAUUAAGCUGAAAUCUCACAUCAUGCUGUAUUUUCAGCAUUAGUUCAAGUACUACAUUCAGCUUCUAAUUAGCAUUUUAUAGAAAAUAAGUAAUUGAUCCUUAAUCCAAAUUUGAAUAACUAUGUUACCUCAAGUUCAGCUGAGCUACUAUCAAUUCUGCAGCCUUUUUGUCAACUUGGAACAUUAAGAAACUCACUCAAGGAUCAACUUCAGCCAUACUUCUCACUUCGGGUAGCUCCAAUAAGCCUUUACUCCAUUUCGGCCAAUACCAACAGCACAAAGUCCAUAUAAGCAUCAAACUUUAAGGUAAAUAAUUCAGCUCAACUAAGUAUGGAAUCAAUCUUACCUUAAUUUGGGCUUUCUCCAAGUUUCAUUCAGCAUCAACUACUCAAAGUCCCAAAUCUCAAUCUGAAAUUUCAGCAAUAUGGAAUCUUUUCAUAAUUCCUCUCUAAAGCUAGUAGUUUGACCCUAAUCAACUACUAAACAGAAUUACCUUCACUAGAUGCUGAAUUUGACCUGCUUACAGCAUCAAUUAGGUCACCCCUGCAUUUCGACAGCACCAGCAGCACCAACAAUAUCAACUUCUUGCUCUCAGCUGCAAGAAUUUCCAUAUGGUGAUCUUUUCCAAGGUAAUUAACCUAUAGAAGAAUAAGUACUAAUCAAGUUUACCUUGAUUAGUUGCUGUCCCAAGUUGUUCAGCAACUCCAGCAGCAAGAAUUCUUUGCCUUGCGGCUCUCUCUCAAGGCUGAAACAUCAAGGCCAUCAGCACCAAUGACACUUUAAUUUCUCUUCAGCAGCAGCCCCAACUCAGCAACACAUCAAUCCAGAAGCUCACAUCUGAAUUCGAAGCUCUCCAACAGCUUCCUUCUUUAACUCCGCAUGGUCUCUUUUCAGUUCCACAUCAAGAAAAACUUAAUUUGCAAGCCUCAAUGCUGUUAUCUCAAUUUUUUCAAGCUGCAACAGCAAGAAAUUCACAUAACAAUCCUUUCCAAAGUAACUAACCUAUAUAAGAAGAAAUACUAAUCAAGUUUACCUUGAUUAGAUGCUAUUCCAGGUGAUAUAGCAACUCUAAUCAGCAAAAACUUCUUGCUUGGAUCAGGUUUUCUUUUCAGCCACAAGUCUCCAAGGCUGUCAGCACCAAGUUCUUCAACUCUUCUUAGCUUAGAGAGAGAAGGAGAAGAAAAUAAAAGAUAAGGAAUGAAGAGAGAUGACCCUUCAGCAUCUGGACAUGUGUAUCCCACUAAGGGUGAAGAGAUAAUGCUGUAAAAUUGCACUUUGGCCCCUCAAAAUGCUGAAAUUGCAUUGCUGGACAAAUGCUGCCCGCAAUUGCUAUACCGGUACAAGAAUGUGUACCGGUACAGGACAGCAGCAGCAGCAGCAUCAACAGCUGCUUCGAUUCCUUGUUUCUCACUUCUAAUCCAUUCUAAUUUCAUUCCAACACUUCAAAAACAUUCCAAAUGAACAUCCCAAGCUAUCAAAUUAAUUUGGGAGCAAUUAAUUUCAAAUUUGCAUCAAUUUGCUCAUUUUGACCAAAUCGACUAAAAUUUCAACAUUCGAGUUACAAUGGCAAUUGGAUGUCUUUAGCCACUCCAAUUCCAUUCUUAUCUAUUCUCACAUUUCCAAAACCUGUCACUUGAUAUUCUCCAGCCACUAAUUAAGUUUAGAAAUACUCAAUUUCCAUUUUAGCAUUAUGGUGACCACUUUGAUCACAAUUAGCUUGUAAUCAAAAUUCAGCCUAUUACAUUUACGGUUUUAUUAGUGGAUUUCAGUGUUAUACUUAUCCCUCUGUUGUAAAACAUAGUUGUUUACUUUGCUUUGAUAUCGUUAGAUCCUUUGUUUAUCUGCCUUAUUUAUCGUUUUGUUUUAGACGCCUCAUAUGUUUUAGACAUAUGGCGGGUCUGGGCACGCGCCGGGCGGCCUUCCGCUGGGUCCCGGGGCGUGACACUAUUCCACAGAGCCGAGACCGAGCGCGCUGGCGAGCGACUGCUGUAAAGGUAUCGCACCGUAGUCAGAGGCCACCAGAGUUGGGUUAUAUUUUGUUAGUAGCUACCCUUUUAUCAUCUUUUGUAUUUGAUGAUUUAUGAUGCUAAUGUAUAGAACAGAAAUGGAAAAGAAUGUAAUGUUUAUUUUGAGCAAAUGUGAUGUAAAAAGAAAUGAUGCGAAAACUAUGUAAAGAAUUGCUUAUGAAAAUGAUAGAUUCUUGUAUGCGAUCAAAAAGAAUCAUAGUACUAGUUGAAUGCUUAGUUUCCUAUCUUUCACUCAUGGCUAUUGCUUACCCUCGUGUAAGCCGUUUGUGUAUGUUUUCGCUAUUGCACUUCUCGUUUGAAAUUAUACAAGUGAUGAGCCUUGGGCGGAUAGGGAAAAUUCUGUCCGUUCGGCGUCUGUUUGACGUGCUCGGGCCGGCCCAAAUUGGUAUCGGUCCCCGGGACGUGACGUCAAGAGCCGUUGUGGAGAGACAUAGGGUAGAUGAAUCUUGAGAUUGUGGCCUCGGAGAUCCCGUCUAUGCUUAUGGCUCUCUUUGUCCAACCGGCCUUGUUGGAAAGGAUUAAAGGAUUGCAACCCGCGGACCCAAAUCUCCAAAAGGUGCGGCGAGACAUCGAAAGUGGACGUGGCGGUGAGUUCAGCGUUGACGCCGAGGUUGCACUUCGGUUUCAUAAUCGGUGGUGCAUGCCUGAAGACGAGGAGGUCCGGAAGUUGAUACUGCAAGAAGCGCAUCGGACUCCCUAUGGUAUCCACCCGGGCGGCACCAAGAUGUAUCAUGAUUUAAAAAUGCAUUAUUGGUGGCCGGGAAUGAAAGCCGAUAUCGGACGCCAUGUGGCGCUGUAACACACUGGACCUGUGCAAAUUGCGAGGUUCGAGUGUUUGAUGUGGACUCCGAACUUUUCCACACUUGGUGGAAGGUUGUAGAUGGUAUUCCGACCUAAAAGUUCGAUUUCUAGAAUUUUGGCUUAGUCCUGAGAGUUUUCACUCUUGGGGACCGGUAACUGGUGGGAGAGACCGGUCCCCCCGGAGCAGUGUUGCGGCACUCUUGAGGGAACCGAUCCCUGGUAGGGAGAGACCGGUUUCCGAACGUUGGUUUUGCGGGACGAACCGAGAGACCGGUCCUUGGCAAGGAGAGACCGGUCCCUCUGGGCGAAAACUGCCCAGACCCGGGCAGUGUGCUGUUUGGAUUGUUGAGGGGCUUAUCAGGAUUUUGUUACAUUAGAAGGCUUUUAGAGCCUUUCUCUUCUCUCUUUCCCUCAUUUCUCCCGUUUACACUCAUUUUAGAGAGAAAGAGAAGGAAAAGAAGAAGAAGGAGAAGGAGAGGAGCUUGCUUGGAGGUCUUGGAGCAUCAUCUUCUUCCCCUCAUUUCUCACCUUUGGUGGCUUUGAGCUUGCGGUUGGAGCUUUGUGGAGGAUCAAACUCCAACCCUACUUAGUUUAGAGCUUGGAUUGGAGCUUCUCUUGAGGUUGGUAGCUUAUAUUUUUCAUUUAUUACAAGUUUUUCUAGAUUCUACUAGAUGAAACCCUAGAUUUUAGGAUUUAGGGUUUAUUUUUGGGGAUUUUUGAUUUGAGGGCUUUGAAACCUAAUUGAUGGGUUUAGAACCUUUAUUUAGGUUGGAUUUGAAGAACUCUAACUCCCAUUUGGAGCUUGAGAGAGAAUUUUUCACCUAGAUGAGUUUUUCUCUACUUUAGCCUAUGUUGCUUAAUAAUGGAGCUUAGGGUUGAUCGUAAGGUUCGUUUGACUCUCUUUUCUAUACCUUUAGGAUACUAGAAGAGUGGCGAACACUUUCGUCAGAGCUUACGAAGGGUUUCGGUAAGUUCAGUGGGUUUGACUUCAUGAAAUCGGGAUGAAAUGGCCCCUAAGUAUUCUAUACUUGUCGUGACGUCAAUUUGAUUGCAUAUUCAUGUUAAAUGAGAUUUAUGUGAAUUUUAGAACACUUAAACUACAUGCCUUAUGUAUCAUGAAAAUUUCACUCUAUAUAGUAGGGCAUUCGGGGCAUUUUGCAUGUAUAUGAGGAGUGUUCGUGUUAGCGACUUGAAAAUGUCUCUUAUGUUAGAAUUUGCUCAAAUUAUGCAUUUAUAAAUAAUAAACUCAUGUUUGGACUUAGUGGACAAAAUGCCAUAAAGAGGCACUUGACAUAGUAAACUGUGAAACUACAACAUAGAGACAUAGUGAUAGGCCAUUGAACAUCUACUAUAUUCCAUGUUAGAGACAUGAUGACAGAGAGAUAGGCCAUCGAGAUACUUGAUAUAUUCCAUGUUUUUAGACAUGAGGACUUGGUACUUGAGAUAGAUCUUUCGCUUGCUUGCCAUUGUGCUCAUUCGCACAUGCUUGUGAGGGUCGCUCCCUACAAGCCGGCACUCCAGAGAUAGCCAUCACGACAUAUGCUCGCUCGUGCGGGAUUGGGCGCCGAAAUUGGAUGCCGUGGGGGAGGCUCAUCCCUAGAGUGGGGAUGUUGACUACACGGGGCCAUUAGGCACGGCGCAGGCCGGACUACCCACGGGUAGGUCCUAUAGGAUUGGAUCUUUGAUGACUUAGCAUAACGACUGGACAUUGACUAGAAUAGUAAACAAGACAUUUUACUAUUUAGCUUGUGGACAUCAUGCUAGUGAUACUUUGGUACAUUCAUAAUAGAAUAGUCCUUUUAUUACUUAUGCAAAUUCAUGCUAAGUAGAGAUAUUAUGUUGUAGUAAGUUUACAUGCUUACUUACAUAUCGAUUCUAUUGCUUUUAUUGUUACCUUCAUGUUUAGCUCUUUUGGGCCUAGCGGUGCUUUCACUGAAGUCAGUAAUUGCCCACUGGGAACUAUAUUUAAUAGUUCUCACGCUUUCUGUUUUAUGUUUCCUUUUCAGAGCCUUCGACACCGGCGGAGGCACGGGAUCGCUCCAAGGGUGUCGCCUAGCUAGAUAGAGGGGAGCUACUUUUGAGCUUUGGUGGUUUACUCUUUCUUUUAUUGUAUUAGAGAGUGAGAGAGAGAUUUUGAGUACCUUAUAUAGAGAGACCACCUAUGUGCUUGUUUAGCUUUUGUAUUUGGGAUUCCUGUUGUAUUUAUUUUAUGGUUUAUUUAAUGAUUUUAGCUCUCUACUCUUCACACUGUUUUAGAUACUAGAUGUUGUUCAAUGCUCUGAUAUAUCUAGAUCUUCUUUAUUUUCUUUAUUUAUCGUUUUGUUUUAGACGCCUUAUAUGUUUCAGACAUAUGGCGGGUCUGGACAUGCGCCGGGCGGGUUUCCACUGGGUCCCGGGGCAUGACAGAUUAGUUUGGUAUCAGAGCCUAGGGUUGAGUCUUAGUGGACCUGGCAAACCUUAGGCCGGUUGGCCUAUUGGAAAUAGGCUCGUGAGAGACGAGGUCUAUUUGACUUGUAAGCGAAAGUAUCUUGAUUGGGUAUCUUGAUAACUCUAGAAAGUGGAGUUAAAUUGAAGUGUAUAGCUCCUAACUUCGUGGAGGGUUACGUUGGCAGCCGACAACGUAACAUCGGGAGUUAGUAGCACACUUCAUUACUUUCGUAUGAUUUGGGGUAUUAUCUGCUUGAGCGGGGAUACGAUAGCGUGGGUUACUAACUUGUGCUUUUAUGAUGUUGUAGUUAGAUGCCGAUCACUCGCUCCCAAUCUGCCGGAGCGGAUAAUGCGGCACAUCUUGAGGAGGUCGAGACCUCCGCUACCUCCGAAUCUGGCGAGGUCCAGGAGUUGAGGAGCCAGCUUGCGGCCCUCACCGACCUAGUGACUCAGCAGGUGGAGGCAGCCCGACAACAGACUGAGGCGACGUGCCGGCAGAAGGCGCGGAUGAAGCGCCUGGAAGGCCUUCUUCUGCAGCAGGCGGCAGCUUCCAGGGAAUCCCAGGCCCCUACAUCGCCAGCACCAGUUGUGGACGUCGCGCCGAGAGCGCCGUCCCCGAUUGGAGCUGUUUUUCCCGUGUUGGUCAAGGGAGCGGAGCGGGACCGACUGAUGGAGCGCCUCAACGAGUUUAAGAGGAGCAGUCCUCGGAUAUUCGACGGUGAGAAGGUCGACCACUGGAUCAUGGAGAAGUGGCUGAUACAUAUGGAGAAGCUCUUUCGCGACACCUUCAUGGAGGAGAGAGAUCGAGUUUGGCUCGCCACACACCAUUUGGACGGCGAGGCCUACCGCUGGUGGUUGGAUCUCCAGGAGAACCCCAGCACUGAUUUGGCGGCUAUCUCGUGGAAGAAGUUUAAGGAGCUUCUGUUGGCGCACUACUUUCCGACCAGCGUCAAGAGGAAGAUGGAGCAGGACUUGCGCAAUUUGCGCAGGGAGACAGGACAGUAGCCGAGUAUGAGCAGGAGUUUUCUCGGCUUCUACACUACGUGCCUUUCAUCGUGCGGGAUGACGAGGACAAGGCCCGCAUAUUCGAGCGAGGGUUGCGACCGUCGAUUUUUCGAUUUGUGCAAUCCUCUAACCUCCAAACCUAUCGGGAGGUGGUGGAUCGUGCGCUCAUCGUGGAGAGCGGCGCGGCGGAUGUCCAGGAGCGGCGAGAGGUUAUGGAUAAGGGUAAGGCCAAGAGGCCUACGGCUGAGGGUGCGAGCCAGACGCACUCUAGGAGGCCGCCGAAGCAUCCGAGGAGCCAGCAGCGUGGGCGUGGCUCGGCGACCCACCGUGGAGGUUCUGACCGACACCGACCUCCCCAAUGCGUGAUCUGUGGUGGUCCCCACAUUCCACGGCAGUGCCAGCAGCGGGGAGGGAGGUGUUUCCAGUAUGGCCAGGAUGGCCACUUUCGGACCUAGUGCCCGAGAGGUUCUUCACCGGCACCGUCGACUGCAUCGACACCGGCUCUACCAGCCGCUAGCCACGGGACUCCAUCGACACAGUACCAGCUUGGGUGGCCACCCGUCCAGCGCCAGAGCGAGGGAUCUCGACAGGCUCUGAGUGGGCGUUUGUAUGCGGCUAAGACCGAGGAGGCGGCAACAGCCGAGGAUGUGGUUGCAGGUAUCAUUUUACUUGAUGGCAUUAGAGUUCGUGCUUUAUUUGAUACCGGUGCAUCGCAUUCGUUUAUAGAUCGGCUGUUUGCCGAGUUGCAUGGCAUCCCUUUGGUUUCUUUGUUGCAUCCGGGACAUGUCGUAGUACCCGACCACACUCUGGAUAUUAGAGAGCAUUGCCCCUGUUGCCCUAUUCGGGUAGGAGAUUGGAUUAUGCCCGUGGACUUGCUAGCCUUGCGCAAGUUGGGAGAAUUUGAUGUGGUCCUGGCUAUGGAUUGGCUAACCAAGUAUUAUGCCACGAUUGAUUGUAAGAAUCGCACGGUUACCUUUAGAGAACCGGGACAGACUGAGGUUGUAUUUAGAGUAUGCCGGAGUUCGCUUUUCGCGACGUCGAUCAGCUCGUCUCGAGCUAAGCAGCUGAUCAGCCGAGGAUGUGUAGCCUACUUGGCUAGUAUUGUGUUGAGGAGCGAGGAUGACACCCCUAGGAUUGAGGAUAUCCCGGUGGUACGGGAAUUCCAGGACGUGUUUCCAGCUGAGCUACCGGGUAUGCCACCCGAUAAGGAGAUCGAGUUUGUGGUAGAUCUCAUCCCUGGGACUACUCCAAUCUCGAAGGCACCCUAUAGGAUGGCACUAGCGGAGCUAAAGGAGCUGAGGGCACAGCUAUAGGAUCUGUUGGAUAAGGGCUUCAUUCGACCGAGCGUCUCACCGUGGGGAGCGCCAGUUCUGUUCGUCAAGAAGAAGGACGGAUCACUUCGCCUAUGCAUGGACUAUCGUAAACUUAAUAAAGUCAUGAUCAAGAACAAGUAUCCAUUGCCGAGAAUUGACGACUUGUUUGACCAGCUUCAAGGAUCGUGUGCGUAUUCCAAGAUAGACUUGCAGUCGGGAUACCACCAGUUAAAAAUCAAACCCGAGGAUGUAUCGAAGACGACUUUUAGAACACGGUAUGGACACUAUGAGUUCACAGUUAUGCCGUUCGGGCUUACUAAUGCUCCGGCAGUCUUUAUGGAUCUGAUGAACCGUGUUUUCAAGCCUUAUUUGGACAGGUUCGUCGUGGUGUUUAUCGACGACAUUUUGGUUUAUUCCCGAAGUGAUGCAGAUCAUGAGGAACAUUUGAGAUUUGUGCUCCAAGUACUUCGGGAAAAGGAGCUUUAUGCCAAGCUGAAAAAGUGUGAGUUUUGGCUCCGAGAGGUAGCCUUCCUUGGGCAUUUAAUAUCGGGAUCGGGUGUAGCCGUGGAUCCUAAGAAGAUUGAAGCAAUCAAGAAUUGGCCGAGACCGACGAGUGUCACGGAGAUACAGAGUUUCCUUGGAUUGGCCGGUUACUACCGGAGAUUUGUAGAGGGGUUUGCUAAGCUAUCUACUCCUCUCACGAGGCUUACGCUUAAAGGUGUUAAGUUCAUCUGGAAUGAUGCGUGUGAAAGAAGUUUCCAAGAGCUGAAGCAACGACUGACGACCGCACCUAUCCUAACCCUGCCAGUUGCUGGAAAAGGGUAUGUUGUUUACAAUGAUGCAUCUCUUAACGGAUUGGGCUGUGUUUUGAUGCAGGACGACAAGGUGAUCGUGUAUGCUUCUCGCCAAUUGAAGGAAUAUGAAAAGAAUUACCCUACUCACGAUUUGGAGUUGGCGGCCGUAGUCUUCGCAUUGAAGUUAUGGCGCCACUACUUAUAUCGCGAGCGGUGUCAGGUAUACACGAAUCACAAGAGCCUCAAAUACCUGUUCAUUCAAAAGGAGUUGAACUUGAGACAGCGUAGAUGGCUGGAGCUGCUCAAGGAUUAUGAUCUGACGAUUCUACAACACCCGAACAAGGCUAACGUGGUGGCGGAUGCGCUAAGUAGGAAAUCAACGAAAAACUUAGCAAUGCAUGUUGUUAGUCAACCGCAGUUGAUCGAGCAGAUGAAGCGGUUGGAGUUGGAAGUGGUGAUUCCGGAUACGCCUUUGAGAUUGAUAACCUUGGUGGUGCAACCUACACGUUUGGAUAUAAUUAAAGAAAAGCAAGUAUCCGAUUCGAAAUUGCAAAAGGUUCGAGAUAAAAUGGACAAUGGUUGCACCGGCGAUUUCCUUGUGGAUGACCUAGAAUUGAUGCGUUUUCGUGGAUGAAUUUGUGUACCAGCGGAUUUAGGAAUUAAAGAGGAUAUUCUUCAAGAAGCAUACCGGGCACCGUAUGUUAUAUAUACGGGUGGUACCAAGAUGUACAAGGACUUGAAGUUGCUUUAUUGGUGGCCCGGGAUGAAAAAGGACGUUGGCGAGUUCGUAGCUCAUUGUCUAACUUGCCAAUAAGUGAAAGCUGAGCACCGAUUACCCGCGGGAAAGCUUCAGAGUUUACCUAUUCCCGUGUGGAAGUGGGAGAAGAUCACCAUGGACUUUGUGACUGGAUUGCCUCGCUCUUAAGCCGGGCAUUAUGCUAUAUAGGUGAUCGUGGAUAGGUUAAUGAAGUCGGCGCACUUCAUACCUAUUCAUACUACUUGGACCGGAGAGAAGCUCGCACAAGUGUACCUUGAUGAGAUUGUGCGACUUCAUGGAGUGCCUACAUCGAUAGUAUCGGAUCGAGACACUCGGUUUGUGUCUCACUUUUGGAGGAGUCUGCAGGAUGCCUUGGGCACCCGAUUGGACUUCAGCACUGCCUUCCACCCCCAGAGUGAUGGCAGUCAGAGCGCACCAUUCAGACUUUAGAGGAUAUGCUCCGAGCAUGUGUGAUAGAUUUCCAGGAAGGAUGGUCGCAUCAUCUACCGAUGACAGAGUUUGCUUAUAACAACAGUUACCAAGCAAGCAUCAAGAUGGUGUCCUUCGAAGCACUUUAUGGACGGAAGUGUAGAUCGCCACUUCAUUGGAGUGAAAUAGGCGAGAGAUUGGCUUUAGGCCCUGAUGUGCUCCAGGAAGCUGAGGACAAGGUUCGGAUUGCUCGGGAGCGACUUUUGACGGCGCAGAGUAGACAGAGGAGCUACGCCGAUCGAUGGCGGCGAGACUUGGAGUUCCAAUGUGAGGAAGUGAAUUUUCGAAAUUCGAGGAUUGUACUUCAUUCAGGAUCGACUGACUGUCGAGAGAAUACCCUUCGUGGGAGUUAAGAAUGCCCAUAACACAAAAAGUGCUUUGGAGUUGAGUCCGCGAGAGCAAAUAGGCAAAAUCUGGACUCAGCAGAUUUUUGCUCUCGGGGACCGGUCCCUGGAGGGAAGGACCGGUCCCCGUAGUUGAUGGUCGCGGGGGAGGUCGAUGCGACCGGUCCCUGGCUGAGGGGACCGGUCCCCGUGCACGACACCCGCGAGAAGAAGCAUAAAUUUGGCUAAGUCCUGAAGGUUCCCCUUUCAGGAACCGGUCUCUUAGGAGAGACCGGUCUCCUAGGGACCGGUCCGUCAGGUGAGGACCGGUUCCCGAACGCGAAGGAGGCCCCUGGCAGCGUGGGCUGCUCUCGGGGACCGGUCCCUUGUCGGGGAGACCGGUCCCUCUGGGCGAAAACUGCCCAAUGAGGGCUGUGCAAUGGAUGAAAAGCUGAGGGGUCUAAAUGCAAAAUGGCCCUUAUUAGAGUGGGCUGAGCCCUCUCUCUCUCCCUCACACUCUCAUUUUACCCUUUCUCUUUCUCUCUUGCUCUCUCUCUCUCUUUAGAGAAGAAGAAAGAAGGAGAAAGAAAAAAAGAAAGAAGGAGAAAGAAAAGAAGAAAGAAGGAGAAAGAAAAGAAGAAAGAAUGAGAAAGAGAAGGAGGAGAAGAAAAAGAAGAAGGCUAGGAGCAUCUUCCUCUCCCUCUCCUCUUCCCAUUGGUGUAGCUUAAGAGGUAAGCUACAAACCCUAGCUGUAAUAUACCGAAAAUUCGGAAAAUAAAUGUCGAACUUUAGUCAAAUUGACCAAAGUGCGAGGAUGGUACACUUCGGAAAGUCCGAAGGUGUUAAAAUGAUUAAAAGCGAGUUACGGGAGGUUUUCGAGAGCUAUAGGAUCAAAUUCUGCAAAACUGCAGAUUUUCAGCUCUCGGGGACCGGUCCCUGGUGGGAGAGACCGGUUCCCGAACGCGUAUGAACUGAGACAGCCGAAAAAUCGGCUAAGUCCUGAGAAAUUAGCUCUCGGGAACCGGUCCCUACCUGAGAGACCGGUCCCCGAGAGACCGGUCCCAUAAGGAGAGACCGGUUGCACUGCGCGCAGCAGCUCUGACUGCGCUGGGACAACGUUCGGGAACCGGUCCCUGAAGGAGAGACCGGUCCCCGCCUGCGCGGAAUGCCCAGUUCGGGCAGUGUUUUAAAGUGAAAGUUGAGGGGUUUAGCUGCAAUUUUGCAACCCCAAUAGGCUAUGUAUUGGGGUAAAUGAGGGAUUUCUCUCAUUUUCACCCUCUCAUUCCCUCUCAUCUCUUCUUCUCUCUCUAGAAGACAAAGAAGGAGAAGAAGAAGGCAAGGAAAGGAAGGAAAAGAAGACAAAGAAGGUGAAGAAGAAGCUUUUGGAGCAAAGAGGCUUCAUCUCCUUCUUCUCUAGUGCAAGAAAAGGAAGCUUACAAGGUAAGCUUUAAACCCUAAUGUAGUAAAACCCUAGAAAUGGGUUUGAAUGAACCUAGAGAUGGUUUCUAGUGGAAUAUCUAGUAGUUUGAAGCUUUCUUUUUGCUUCUUUAGAGAUCAAAACCAUGGUUGAGCUCAAAGUGAGCUUCAACCCACCUCUAAUGGUGAAAUCUAAUCUAGGGUUUUGGAAAGCCUAAGAAUGGUUCUAAUGGACUAUUUAGAGUAUAGUGAAGCUACUUUUACUUCUCUUUGAGAUCAAACCCUAGGUUUGAUGAUGCUAAGGAGCUAGGGCACCCAAAUUGGGGCUUUUUCUCACAGGGGUUUCUAAGUGCAAUUGACCCUCUAGAAACCUAAUUGGGGGUAUUUCCGACGCGUUCGUGCGCUCGGAAUAGCAUUACGAAAAGUCUAUAGAAAGAUAUGGGCAAAAUGGCCUAAGUUGGCUUCGUUUUGCCGCAGGUAAAGAACGAAGGAUCUAAAAAUCCCGAGAAAAUCGUCGGAGCACCUAAAGGGACCUACAAGGUGGGUGGUGCUUUCCAAACUCAUUGAAAUUCUCUCUAUGCCUAAUGUGUCAUUCUUUGAGCAUAUGUUCUAUAUAUUGUUGCAUGCAUUUUAGGGUAAAGUAAUGAUGAAAUGUGAUGAUUGCAUGAUUGUGAGCACGACUUGCAUAAUGAGAUGGUUGAGAACCUAAUAAUGUCAAAACCCUAGAUGUAUGCAUGAGAGAAAAUGUGAGCACCCAAAGUGAGCAAAAGAAUAGAGUGGCACAAUGACAUAGAUCGAGUGGCAUUUGAAAAUGUAUAGUAAAGUGACACUAGAGUUAGUGUGAGCCAAAGAACAGGGGCAACUGGGGGCAGAAACUCCCGAAUGUCUAAAGAGAUGAUCGGCGUACAAACAACUCGUCCCGGAUCCAACAAGGGAUACAAGUGGGAAUGCCAUGCAGCUCGGGCAAACAGCCCGGAUCAGAUGAUAUGAAUGCGAUGCACCCGUAUCAAACAACUCUAGCCGAAUACCAGAAGUAAAAUGAUUACCUGCGACCCACAUUCAACGCUGCUGCCGCCCUCAGUCUGGGCCCGCGUACAUGCAGCCCGCUCGGGCUUCGUGACCCUCCGUCAGCGCUGGACAGGGGCGACCGUCCCUGUGAUGCGAGAAGACGUCCCUGGCUGGGCCUGGCGAUGCUGUGCAGAUGCUCCCAAUGCAGCUAGGCAAUGGACUCCGUCCGGCAGUCCGACUGGAAGUGGCCCUGCCUGGCCACACAAGAAACGCACCUUGCCCGGCUGCGUGAACACUGCCGCGGGUAAUGAGGACCGCCACAGAUCACGCAAGCGGGCCUGACGACGCUCGGGUCCUCCUCGCCUGAGUUAGACUGGCUACUGUCCUCGGGACUGCUCCUGCUCCGGGAUGGGCCUCGGCGGCGCUCCGUGAGUGCGUCUGGCUCGCCCCUCAGUCGGGGCUCUUGCGCCCUUCCCUAUUUCUCCAAGCCUCGCGACGCGUCCUGCAGAUCCGCUGCCUCCUGCCUCCACAAAUCAAGGCUUGAUCCACAAAACCUCCCGGAAUCUGAGGUGGGAAGGACUGCCCCACCAACGAAAAAUAGAAGCGCAAGCCGCGCUCAAAGAUCGCGGCCUUGGUCCUCGUGUCCCUCACAACGACACGGUACACAGUGUAGUAUCGGGAGAACUCCCUCGUUUACUCGCAUCUGACCGAUCAUCCUGCGCAAGCUGCGCAAAUCCGGCUCCAUCUUCCUGCUUGACGCGGUAGGAAGUGGUGCGCCAGAAGAAGCUCCUUGAACCUAGUUCCAAGUAAUCGCUGCCAAUCGUGUUGGGGUUGUCCUGGGAAUCCAACCACCGAACGUACCGGCCGCGCCGUCCAGGAAGUGGCUGAGCGAGCCACAACUGCUGUCCCGCUCAGCCCCGCUCACAAAAAGUAUCUCGAAACAGCUUCUCCAUGUGUAGGCAACCACCUUCUUCAACAAGUCUAGUGGCGACGGUUCUCGGCCAUCGAAUGUCCUCGGGCUGACCUCCUACAACUCGCUGAGGCGCUCCAUUAAAGCUCGAUCUCCGCUCUGCUCCCUCGGCCAUCACGGGGAAUGCUGCGCCCUGUCACGGUCUCUGAAAGGUAGGCGCAGCCACCUCCUCCGACCCGGUGGUCGCCGGUGCCGCACGUGAAGAAGUGGCGGGGGGAGCGCCGCUCGGUGCGACAUCCACAACAGGGGCUGGCGUGUAGGACCCUGGUCUCCCUCGAUCCUGCUGUCUGCUGAAGAUAGGAGGUCCUCAAGAUGCUGCAUCCGCCGUCUGCCGCUGUAGCCACUCGGCCUUGUCGCCUGCGCCGCGUUGCGGGUCUGCUGCGCCAAGAGAUCAGUGACGACCGCUACCUGGCCCUCACAGUCACGACCUCACUUAAGCAUCCGAUAGUAGCGCGAGGUCAUCAACCUCCUCGGGUGAGCGCGCAUCAUCCGCCCCGGGCAGACUGGGAAGCGUGUAAUCGGCAUCGUCACUACAAAACAUAAAAGCGCAAGUUAGUAACCCACGCUAUCGCACCCCGCCGCUCAAACAGAUAAAACCCAAACCAUGCCCGAAAGUAAGAAGUGUCCUCACUUACUAACUUCCCGAUGUUACUGUUGUCGCCGCAACUAACCCUCUGCGAAGUUAGAAAAGCCAUACACUCCGAUCAAACUCUAACUUUUUAGAAUUAUCAAAACCCUAAUUCAUCAAUACUUUCGCUUACAAAUCAAUUAAGACCUCGUCUCUCCGCAGCCUAAUUCCUAAAGUUCCAACCGGCCUAUAGGUUCGCUAGGUCCACUAAGACUCAACCCUAGCUCUGAUACCAAAUUAAUCUGUCACGCCCGGGACCGGCGAGGCCCUCCGUAGCGGUGUCCAGACCGCAUAUGUCUACACAUAUAAGGCGUCCUACAAUAAAAAGCGUAAGAAAAGCGAGAAAAGUAGAACAAGUAGAAGAAGUGGAAUAACAGCAACUAAUGAUAUCAGAGCAAAUAAGUUCUAGCCAUCUACACCAAGUAAAGCAGAUAAGGCAUAGACAAUAGAGCGGAAAGCAUAAGGUUAAGUACAAUAUCGUCUCAGUACAAAAAAAUUGGUGGUCUCUAUACAUGUACGGGUAACAACUUCGCAACCUCUCACAACAAAGAUAAAAAAAAAAAAAGAAAAAAAAUAAAAACGAAACACGCAGAGGUAGACCACCUAUCGGAACGAUCCCUCGGUAAGCACGCCGUAGCCCGAGGCGAGUACCCCUUUCCGCGAUCCCUGGGCCUCAUCCACUGAGGUGGAAGCUCUGAAAACAUCAUAAAAAGAAGGGCUGAGAACUAUAAUUUAUCUUCCAGUGGCAAGACUGACCUCAGCUCUUGCUCCACUAGCCCCAAAAACAGGGUAAGCUAACGAUAAUAAUGAAUAGCAAUAAAGGAGCAUAUACAUAAACUCGCCUUGAAAGAAAAGCAUAAAUGACAUGCGAGUCACUGUGUCGUCGAAUAAGUAUGAUGUCAACCCAAAAAUGCGACAGCUAUUCUAUCAGUAUCAAUUAAGUCCAAUCACACUAGUUUAAUUUGUGAACCUUUGUCAAUAUCAUAAAUGUUGUAGUUCUAAAUAUGGCAAGCCACUAUUACUACACGUCUCACACUAUGCCUAUAAAGCAUGUAAUGUAACCCCGACUACUAAGUCUAUUCUGAGUAGUGAUCAGUCGGAUUCCUUCGAAACCCGUCGUCGAUUUCCAUUCCAAUUAUGCGGACUUACCCAGGUAGUCAGCUUGCUUUGCCGCCUAAGUGCCCUGUGGUUAGCCCGACAUUCCUACUGAUGUUCUGUCCCAGCUCGACCCCGUAGCUUCGUCAAUUACCGCCACGAGCCGAUCAAAAAGUGCACGCAGGUAACUCCGGUAGUGCGCGUGUAGGGAAGCGACCCUCACAACGGCGUGGGGCCGAAUGAGCACAAAUGGCCAAGCAAGCAUAGUCCAACGUCUCAAAAUUUUCAAUCCUUCAUGUCUCUUAACAUGGUAUCAUAACUAGCAUCCGAAGAUCUAGUCUAAGUCACAUGCGAAUCGUUCAACAGUUGCUACGCCUAGUGCCCCUUGAUGGCACACUUAGGCAAUAUGUUCGACACGGUUUUCCAAAUCCCUCAAGCGCCUAUCCACCUAGGUCUCACAAGUCCUGGAGCAAGGCGCAUUGAGACAUAUAGCUCAAUCAAUCACAUUGAUAUUCAAGGGGUCGAUGCCUAUAAUUCUAGCAAUUGUCAACUUUCAGUCCCAAAACGUAGUUUAAAACGCAUGAGUCAUAGCUCCAUAUACUCUCUAGAAUUCAUGAAAUCAAACCUUGUUUUAUAUGAAUGCCUAAAUGCAACCAAAAGAUCUCUCUACUACAUAGAGGUCAAAAAUUCAUCAUAUAUAACUAUGCAUUUUAAGAUUCAAAAUCAUAAAUAAGAAAUACAUUUAACAUGAAAAUGCAUGAAAUUAUUAGGUAAACAAAAGCACUAUCACAAAUAUGAGAGUUUUCGCAUAAUUAUAGGCUAGGGUCAAACGCCGACCACACAACGAAGCUUUUCGUUGGCUCCAACGGAGUUUCAUACAAGGCUUUCUAGCCACCUAGAGAACAUCAAAAAGAGUGUCAUCCAAACGAACGAGAGAGCGAAAGCUCAAACAUUAAGCAUCUAGCAAAAAUGGGCAAAACUCACCUCAAGAGAAGAAAUCUCUUCCUAUGCUCCAAAAGAGAGCUAGAACCCUUCAAUGCUAACCUAGAGGAUGUCUAAUCCAACCAAUCUAGCUCAAAAAGCUCCUAGAAGGCAAAUGCCCGAAAUAAACCCUAAUUAUCCAUUUCUAGGUUGACUACUAUACAAAGAUCAAAACCAAAAUCUAGAGGAAAAGAAUAGAGGCCACCAACCCUUCUUAGAAGACCUCACAAGCGUUCAAAACCGUCUCAAGGCCAAAGAGAUCUCUCCUCAACAAGCUCCAAACCCAAGUCCAAUAGGUGGAAUUAGCUCCAAAAACCCGAAAAAGGAGCAAACAGCAGGGGGAUUUAAUCCUCUAAAAACCCAAGCAAAAUCAAAGAAAUGGAGAGGGAGGGGUGUGAAGGCUCCCUUACCUCUUCUCCCUGCCAGGAUUGCCAAGCUCAGGGGAGCCCAGCGGCGGGGGGGAUACAAAUAGAGAUUGCACAACACGCGAAAAACCCCCGCUAAGUUCUAAACGGUGCUCAGAAUCUGCACUGGUACCGGUACACGGGCGCCGCGUAUCGUACACCAUCUGCGAAAAACGCCCAGCCGAGCUCGUGUUUGGCUGAGAAGCGGGCCAAAGUCGAUGGCUGCUACCUGUACAGCCAUCACUCCCGCGGUACCCGCGUACACAGCCCUCUGAGGCAACCCGAGAGUAACAAAAUCCGAUUUUUUCGGUUUUUGUGCUCCGCUUUAAACCUCAACUUCUCGCGGAUGCGAGCCAUAGGUCGCGAACACUGUCAACGACCCACCAGAAAAGUCUGAAUGCUCAGCAGCAACAGCUCGAACACUCGAACCUCGCAAUUUGCAAAGGUCCAGUUGUGUUACACUAGCAAUCCAUUCUUUAGCUUUACACUCUUUAUUCUUUAUACGUUCUUUAUGCUCUCUGCUUUAGCUUUAGUGAGUCUCAUCAUUCUUUAUAUCACUUCANNNNNNNNNNNNNNNNNNNNNNNNNNNNNNNNNNNNNNNNNNNNNNNNNNNNNNNNNNNNNNNNNNNNNNNNNNNNNNNNNNNNNNNNNNNNNNNNNNNNGCCCUUUAUGACACUCUUAUUUUUCUAUGUCAAAGCCAUGGCAACUAUGUUCCAACAGUACAAUAUCCAAGUCAUAAUCCUCACCAGAGAUAUAUUUUUACUUGCAAAGUAAAACACCUUUCCCGUAUGCAUGCAUUCUACUCAUAUAGCUCUACUAUAUAGUGAAAUUUUCAUAAUACACAAGACAGCAUUUUAGUGUGCUCUAAAAAUUCAUAUUAACAAUCCAUUUGCAUAGAAAUGAAUUUAAAGAUAUUUACAACAAGUAGAAGAGCAUAGGGGCCAUUUCGCCCAUUUCCACGAAGCCAAACCCACCGAUGGAAACAACUCCUCGGUGCGCUCCCACGAGGCGUGUCCUCUAGUCUCCUAGUACCCAUAGAGGUAUAGAAAACAUGUGUCAUACGAGCGAACGAACAAUACUAGCUCAAACAUUAAGCCUAAUCAAGCAUAGGUGCAGGAAACUCACCUCUAGUGCAAAAAUCUCUCUAACGCUCCAAAUGAUGCUAGGGCUCAUCCACUCCAACCUAAUGAACCUCUAAUCCACUCAAUCUAGCCUUCAAAAGCCCUAGAUUCAAAAUACCAAAUAAACCCUAAUAUUACACUCUAGGGUUUCAUCUCAUGAAAUCCAAUAAAACUCAAAUCUAAGAGGAAGAUAGUGUAAUGCUUACCUCUUAGAAGCUUCAAAUCAAGCUCUAAAUCUUUAAAUCCAAGAUCUAUCCUCCACUUAGUCUCCAAAUCCAGCUUGAGGCUUCAUCCAUUGGUGGAAAAUGGCCACCAAAGGGCAAAGAGAAGAAGAUCCAUCAAAAACCAAGCAAAAAUGGAGAUCAAAAUCAAGUGGGACAGGUGCGAGCUUCACUCACCUUCCUUGCCUCUGGUUCCAGCACAAAAAAGGCCCUAAGGGGCGUGGUGCUGUUAUAAAAAAGCCCACAAUCGCGAAAAACCCUGCAGACCAAACUGCACAAAAACUGCCCUCCUUGUACCGGUACACGGGCUCUUCUACCUGGUACCAAGGCCGACGAAAAUGCAAACCCGAGGCUCGGGUCCGGGGUCUGCGGCUCUGUACGGUACAAAGCCCGAUGGCUGCACCGGUACAACCAUCAACCUUGUACCCGUACAAGGGCCAGUUUGUUCCGGUACUAGCCCUGCUGCAGGUGCCCGAGAGCUAUCCAAAAAUUCUAAUUUUGGAAUUUUGUGAAGUCCCACUCCAACAUCCUCGGGAUGUGUUGCAGGGGUCGGAACACUAUCAACGACCUCCAAAAACUGUGGGAAUGCUCCAAACACAAUCAAAACACUCGAAUCUUGCGAUUUGCUAAGAUCCAGUGUAUUACAGGUGUAGACCCUAGUUACAGUGUGUCCUGUAUGGAGAGGAUGAUCUAGCUCACAGUCUGGUUUUAGGUGGCAUAGCCAUCCAAUCCCCACAUGGAGGGGGAUUGUCUCGAGUACUCCGGAGUGUUGCGCGACUAGGACCACUUGAGGUCCGGACCACAUGGAGGUCCGCAAACGGUCCGGGCUUGGGUGCACGUUGGAGCUCCCCCACUUUGGGAAUGAAAGUGUGAUCAUGGGCGAGCCCUAGGGCCUGGCCACAGAUUGGGUAAAUGAAAGGUUAUUGAUGUCACUUGAACAUUGCUAUUCGAACAUGGAUCGAAUUGUUAGCAUGUUAAGCAAACCUUUAUUAUAUGAUGCAUACAUCUUAUUCAUGAUUAUGGGCCAUAGUAGCAUAGUAGCAUAGUUUUUCCUGACUACUGCUUUACAGCUUUCAGAGUAUAUAUCUAUCUAUCUAUCUGCUGUUACUUGUGCCCACUUGGACCUAGUGGGCGAGAUCGGCAGAGUCAGCGGCCGAGCCCACUGGAACUAUCGAAGAUAGUUCUCACCCCACUCUAUUUCCAGUGGUAGGUUCAGGCUGCAGAGACGAGGACCGCUGGCCAAGGGCCGGGUCCGCGCCCGACCAGUGAGACCGUGGUAGUAUAGUAGCUUUCCUUUUUGCAUUAGCACACCUAUGUAUUGAGAGAGAUUCAUGUAGGUGAGGUUGGAGAGCUAUGUAUUUUGAGGAUCAAAUGUAUUCACUUUGGAAAAUGAUGUAAAUGUAGAGAACGCAACUAUUGUAAUGGUUAGUAAAGUACUCUCUUUAUUUCACUCGUAUAUCUUGUGCAUUACUUGCUCUUCUUGUUGUCGGCACUAUUUGUGCCCUCGUCGGGUGUGUAUGUUUAGAAUUUAACGUCCUGGGUAAAUUCUUGUACACAUUCCUGUUGUUGAGCCUUGGGCGGACAGGGGAGGUGCUGUCCGUUCGGCGGUCCGCCGCCGCGGCCAAACCGUGCCAAACUGGUAGUGGUUUCGGGGCGGGGCGUGACAGUCUUUUGUGGUAUCAGAGCGAUAAGAGCAAGUAAAGAGAGUUUAGGAUAACCUAGGAGACCCUAGGUUGGCAAGCCUUAAGGUUAUUGGUGCGUGAGCAGAACGUGAACCUAUAGCGAUGGCGGAAGUUAAUUCGAUUGGGUCGAAGUUGGUAUAGGUCUCUAGUUGUGAUUAGAGACGGAUUCGAGUUGUGUGAGUUCUUGUCUUGAGGUGGUUGUGUCGGCGGCCGACGACAUGAUACCAAGAGCCUAGAACAAGUACACUUGUGUGCUUCUGCCCAAUUGUGUUGAUGAGUCAUCAUGUGUCGUAAUUACGACGAGGUAAUUGGUUAAGGUGACUGACCGAGUAAUUGCGUUUCAGGGGCUAAUGUCUCCAAGACGCUACACGCGUAGGACUGCACCAGCACCGACUCCUGAGGUGCCCGAGCAGGAGGAACCGAGCGUGAUCGAUCGGUUGCAAGCGCAAGUGACCGCGCUGACCGACGUGGUGCAGCGCCAGGAGACCCGAUUCGAGCGGCUCCAGGAUCUAUUGGAGCGGCAGAUCGCGACGGCGGCUGCGACGGCAAAUGAAGGCGGUGGUCCGCCCGCACCCUCGACUCAUAUACCUAGAGCGGCAGAGGGUGAGGGCAUAGCGGCGGUUCCGGUGACGGCACACCCACCGCCAGCGAUCGCACCACAGGCGGCAUCGGGAUCGGCUACACCCGAUGUAUCGACCGAAGAUGUGGAGGGGGAGCGCGCAUUGGCGGCUCUUAUCAAGUUCAACAAGUUCCAUCCGCCAACUUUUGAGGGCGAGAAGGUGGAACCGGAGAUAGUCGAGUCUUGGAUCGACUCGAUGGAAACCCUCUUCGACGACUUGCGUACCUUGGAAAAGGACAAGGUGUACCUCGCCACCCAUUGCUUGGAGAAGGCGGCGAAGGUUUGGUGGAAGCAUGUUAAGCGGGAUCGGCUUCCCGACCUUCCGCCGAUGUUAUGGGAGGAAUUUAAGCGGGAGAUGUUCGCCAAUUAUUUCCCCGAUACAUUGAAGCGGAAGCUCAAGGAGAAGUUCCGCAAGCUAGAGCAAGGGGACCGCUCAGUGGCGGAGUAUGAACAAGAAUUCUCCCAUAUUAUCGAUUGCGUCCCGGAUGUUGUCAAGGAUGACCGGGACCGGGCCGAGUGGUUCUUGCGAGGGCUUCGGCCGGGAAUCUAUAAGGCUGUGCAAAUACUUAAGCUCACAACCUUUGCUUAGGUCUUUGAUCGAGCGCUAUGGGCGGAGCACGGAGACGCCCACGUUCGGGAGAAGCGUGAGCUUUUGGCGGAGUCCAAGGACAAGGGCAAGAAACGCCAAGGCGGCGGUAGUUCGGGUGGUCAGACACGUUACAAGAAACCCCCGAAGUAUCCGCGCACUCAACAAAAAGGCGGUGGAGCGCGGCGAUGCAUUGUAUGCGGCGGGGACCACCCGGUCUCGCGCUGUGAACAAGGCCGAGGCAAAUGCUACAAAUGUGGGCAGCCGGGACACUUCAUUCGAGAUUGCCCGGGAGGAGGAGCCUCACCUGCCCCUUCGAUUGCAUCGGCGCCGGCGAUUCCGGCUCACUAUGGAGGAGCUUCACCGACGGCCGCGUCGACUGGACGCGUGAUGAUGCCGCGUCAACCCGAGGUGGCGCGAUCGGCCCCGAGCGGACGGGUAUUCGCCGCUCAGGUCCAAGCUGAGGAACCUGCGGAGGCGGAGGAGCAUCGCCUUGUGGCAGGUAUGGUUUUAAUUAACGGAGUUCGCUCCAGGGCUUUAUUUGAUACAGGAGCCACGCAUUCAUUCAUAAGUAGAUCAUUCGCACGCAUGCAUUGCAUACAUAUAGAAACGAGUGACAAGUGGCGAGUAGAAGGCCCUGGGUCGACAUUCAAUACCUACACGGAGUGCGCCUCGUGUCCGGUACAAAUAGGCGACUGGAUUAUGCCUAUUCGAACGCUAGGACUCCAGAAACUUGAGGCGUACGACGUCAUAUUGGGCAUGGACUGGCUCUCGAAAUACCACGCCACGAUUGACUGCAAGAGCAGGGUGAUCACCUUCCGUGAGCCAGGACAAGAAGAAUUCACCUACCAGGCUUGUCAGAGCUCGUGCUUCGUCGCGAUGGUGUCGGCGACAAGAGCAAGAAAGUUGGUAAGCAAUGGUUGUGCGGCGUUCUUGGCGACCGUUGUAGAGGUGGAUCGAGUAGCUCCAACAUUAGAGGAGUUAUCGGUGGUGCGGGAGUUCCCGGAUGUGUUUCCCGCGGAGUUGCCGGAGAUACCACCGGAUCGGGAGAUCGAGUUCGUUAUAGACUUGGUUCCCGGUACCGCACCGAUCUCGAAGGCCCCGUACCGAAUGGCGCCGGCGGAAUUGAAGGAGUUGAGGAGUCAAUUGCAAGAUCUCCUCGACAAGCAAUUUAUCCGGCCGAGUGUAUCACCGUGGGGAGCCCCGGUGUUGUUUGUGCGGAAGAAGGACGGAUCGUUCCGACUCUGUGUGGAUUAUCUAGAAUUGAACAGGGUCACGAUCAAGAACAAGUACCCACUACCCCGAAUCGAUGACUUGUUCGAUCAGUUGCAAGGGUCGUGUGUGUACUCGAAGAUAGAUUUGCAAUCCGGCUAUCACCAACUGAAGAUCAAGCCGGAAGAUGUGCAGAAAACUGCGUUUCGUACGUGAUAUGGACAUUACGAAUUCACGGUCAUGCCAUUUGUACUCACGAAUGCUCCAGCGGCAUUUAUGGAUUUAAUGAACCGUGUCUUCAAGAAGUAUCUGGAUCAAUUUGUCGUGGUCUUCAUAGACGACAUAUUGAUCUACUCUCGCAGCGACGAGGAACAUGCCGAGCAUUUGAGGAUAGUACUUCAAGUCCUUCGGGAGGAGAAGCUAUAUGCUAAGCUGAAGAAGUGUGACUUCUGGCUCAGCAAGGUCGCCUUCUUGGGGCAUGUGAUUUCAGCGGGUGGAGUUUCUGUAGACCCGAGGAAAGUUGAGGCAAUCAAGGAUUGGCCGCGCCCGACGAACGUCACGGAGGUUCGAAGCUUCGUGGGCUUAGCGGGCUAUUAUAGGCGGUUUGUGGAAGGCUUUUCCAAGAUAGUAAUUCCACUUACCCGCCUGACCCAGAAAAGCACCAAGUUUGUUUGGAGCGAGGAGUGCGACCGAAGCUUUAAAGAGUUGAAGCAACGAUUAACUUCGACUCCGGUGCUCGCUCUACCGGUGCAGGGCGAAGACUUCGUGGUCUAUAGCGAUGCCUCCUAUCUUGGAUUGGGGUGUGUGUUGAUGCAACACGGGAAGGUGAUUGCCUACGCAUCCCGUCAGCUGAAGAGCUAUGAAAAGAACUACCCCAUCCAUGAUUUGGAGCUAGCGAUGGUGAUUUUCGCCUUAAAGCUGUGGAGGCACUAUUUAUAUGGUGCCCACUGUGAGAUCUAUACCGACCACAAGAGCUUAAAGUACUUGUUUACUCAGAAGGAGCUCAAUAUGCGUCAGCGGCGGUGGUUGGAGCUGUUGAAGGAUUAUGAUGUCGAUAUCCUCUACCACCCCAGGAAGGCAAAUGUGGUCGCGGACGCGCUGAGUAGAAAGUCGGCGAAGAACCUCGCAUUUGACGUUACCCAGCAAACACCCUUAUGGCUGGAUAUGGAGCGAUUAGACCUCGAGGUGGUUGCUCCCGAGGUCCCGACCCAGUUGAUGGCACUCGUUGUCCAACCGACCUUGUUGGAGAGGAUUAAAGAUCUGCAACCCGCAGAGCCAGAACUCCAAAAGGUGCGGCGAAACAUCGAGGAGGGGCAAAGCGGCGAUUUCAGUAUACACGCCGAUGGUGCGCUUCGGUUUAGAAACCGAUGGUGUGUGCCGAAAGAUGGAGAGCUUCGCGAAUUGAUUCUACAAGAAGCACAUAGAUCUCCGUAUGCUCAUCACCCGGGCGGCACCAAGAUGUAUCAAGGAUUGAAAAUGCACUAUUGGUGGCCGGGAAUGAAGAGUGAUAUUGGACGCUUUGUGGCCAAGUGCCUAACAUGCCAACAAGUGAAGGCCGAGCGCCGAUUUCCAGCGGAAAAGCUUCAAAGCCUACCAAUCCUUGUUUGGAAAUGGGAGGAUAUCUCGAUGGAUUUUGUGGUCAGCUUGCCUCGCUCAACGGGCGGCCAUGAUGCAAUUUGGGUAAUUGUGGACCGAUUAACUAAGUCGGCUCAUUUCUUGCCGAUCCACACCACGUGGUCGGGUGACAAGUUAGCGCAGGUAUACCUCGACGAGAUAGUGAGACUGCAUGGGGUGCCAAAAUCGAUCGUGUCGGACCUUGACCCCCGGUUCACUUCACACUUUUGGAAGAGCCUGCAGGGAGCCCUUGGCACACGGCUCGACUUUAGCACCGCAUUUCAUCCUCAGACCGAUGGGCAAACGAAGAGAACCAUUCAAACUUUGGAGGAUAUGUUGCGAGCGUGUGUCAUCGACUAUAAGGGAAGUUGGUGUCAUCGACUAUAAGGGAAGUUGGUGUGACCACCUACCCAUGGCCGAGUUCGCCUACAACAACAGUUAUCAUGCUAGUGUGGAGAUGGCGCCGUUCGAGGCUCUUUAUGGGCGGACGUGUCGGUCUCCUAUACACUGGAGCGAUGUUGGCGAGCGUGUGGAGUUCAGCCCGGAUGUAUUGCGAGAAGUGAAGGAGAAAGUCCGCCUUGCUCGCAAGAGAUUGCUCACGGCGCAGUCGAGACAGCAAAGUUAUGCAGAUAGGCGCCGUCGAGAUAUAGAGUUCGCGGUGGGUGACCGCGUAUUCCUGAAGGUUUCACCAAUGCGGGGUGUGAAGCGGUUUGGAGUACGGGGAAAGCUGAGUCCUCGGUACAUUGGGCCAUAUGAGAUAUUGGAGCGAGUCGGCACGGUGGCGUAUCGACUUGCUUUGCCGCCGGAACUUGCGGAUGUGCACAAUGUGUUCCAUGUCUCCAAUCUCCGCAAGUACAUUCACGACCCCGAGCACGCAAUGCUAUAUGAGCCGCCGGAACUUCAUGAAGACUUGAGCUAUGAAGAGUUUCCGGUGAGUGUUAUCGCCCGAGAAGUGCGAAAGCUAAGGAAUCGAGAAAUCCCCUAUGUGAAGGUGAGGUGGAGCAAUCACGAGGAUCACGAAGCCACCUGGGAACUCGAGGAGCUGAUGAGAAAACAUCAUCCUAAUCUGUUUGAGGAGUGAGGUAUGAGUUUAAAUGAAAGUUAGAAAAUUUAUUCGUUUCGAGGACGAAACUCCUUUUAAGGAGGGGAGGAUGUAAGGAAGUGAAUUCUCGAAAUACGAGGAUUGUACUUCAUCCAGGAUCGACUAAUUGUCGAAAGUAUACCCUUUGUGGGAGUUGAGAAUGUCCCAAACACAAAAAGUGCUUUGGAGUGAGUCCGCGAGAGCAAAUGAUGCAAACUGCAUCAUUGGGCUAAGAUUACUCUCGGGGACCGGUCUCUGGAGGUGAGAGACCGGUUCCCCUGGCUGGGUGUAGCGGGGUUGCGUGAUGCAACCAGUCCCUAGCAGGGAAGGACCGGUUCCCGAACGUGGUCCCAGCGAGAAGUGCCAAAAAUUGGCUAAGUCCUGAAAAUCGAGCUCUCGGGGACCGGUCUCUCAGGCGAAGACCGGUCUCCCGAGGACCGGUCUCCCGGGGAGAGACCGGUUCCCGAACGCGUGCGCCCGAGGGAAGCUCUCGAGGACCGAUCCCAGGUCGGGGAGACCGGUCCCUCCGCGCGAAAACUGCCCAGUGAGGGCAGUGCACAGGAGUGAAAGUUGAGAGGCUUUUAUGCAAAAUGGCUUUUAUUUGAGUGGGCUGAGCCCUCUCUCUCCCUCACACUCUCUCAUUUCACUCUCUCUCACUCUCUUUCUCUCUUGCUCUCUCUCUCUGGAGAUAACAAAGAAGGAGAAGAAGAAAGAGAAGAAGAAGAAGGAGGAGAAGAAGAAGAAGAAGGAGGAGAAGAAGAAGGAAGCUGGGAGCAUCUUCCUCUCCCUCUCCUCUUCCCAUUGGUGUAGCUCUAGAGGUAAGCUACUAAACCCUAGCUGGUAAACUUAGGGUUUUUGGGUUUUAUGCUUUGGAAUGGGUCAAAUGAACCCUAAGCUAGCUUCUAAAUAGAUCAAUCCCAAGAAUCUAAGGAUUUAUUGGGUGGUUUGCUAUAGGUGCAAACCUAGGGCUCCAAAAUAGGGUUUUUUGUAAAAGUAUGAGAUUGAUCUCAUUUGAAGCCUUGGAAACCCUAUUGAUAGGUCCCAAAACGCGGGGGCGAAGUCGAUUUCGGCAUUUGGUGAACCGACGUGAAGUUCUCGGCAAAAUCGGGCCGGGCUAGUGUUGAUUCGGGCGAGGAAGGCUGAAGCCUUUUCGUAGAGCUCGCCGAGAAGGAUUUUCCAAGCCUCUACGCCGAGAAGGAUUUUCCAAGCCUUUUCUUAGAUUGCAUUUAAUCUCAUCUCUUCAUGUUGCAUUGUAGGAUUGCAUAGUAGCUCCAUUCCUUAUGCUUUCUAAUUGAUAACCUAGUGUACUUGGAACGCUUGGUAAUUUAGAUAGGUGAGGAUUGGGUCGAGACGUAAAUUCUAUCGUGCGAAAGAAAAGAGAUGAACCCGAUGGGGGUAUUGAUGACAUAGAAAGUAGUGUUAUUGUCAAAGAACAAACGAGUGGCAUCCAAACAUUGAAUGAUAACGAAUGGCAUUAAUGUAGUGUAAAUAACACUAGAGGUCGAUGGACCUAGGGAUAGGUGGAUCCCUUAGAAAAUGCCUUGUGAACAAUGAAUUUAGAAACUAAAUUGCAUUGCAUGAAUGUCACGAACGAUUGAUUCCGCGGAUUCGUUGACCCUAGUUUAGGGCGUCCUCACUCGGAUGAGGAUUUGAUUUGGGUUAUGACUCUAGUUGUAGAGCCUCCUCACUUGAGAGGUGGAUUGGAUAGACCUUAGUUACAGUGUGUCUAAUUAUGAAGAUGGAUACUAGCUCAAGUUGCGUUUUAGGUGGCAUAACCUCCAUUCCCCACAUGGAGGGGAUGUAGUCGAGUAAUCAGAGUUGCGCGACUAGGAACUUGGAGUCCGCGAUCCACAAUGGAGGUCCGAGUGGUCCUGGCUUAGGUGAUUGGAGCUCCUCACCAUUUGGAUUAAAAAGUGAGUCCAUGGGCGAGCCUCGCGGCUCGCCGCAAUUGGGUAAUGAAGGUUAUUGAUUCAAUUGAAAUGCUAUUCAACAUGGAUCGAAUUUGUUAGGUAUUGUAGCAACUUUAUAGUUAAGCAUAAUCAUAUUCAUGAUUAUGGCAUAGUAGCUAGUAGCAUUGUUUUCCUUAUACUGGCAUUUACAGCUUUCAGAUAUAUAUCGUGAUCUAUCUAUCUUUGUUAUUUAUCCCCAUUGACCUGAGUGGGGAGAUUUAGCACUUGGGACUUGCAAAUUCGAGGUUCAAGUGUUCGAUUUGUAUACGAACUUUUCCCAUUGGUGGGGUGCCGGUCGAUGGUAUACUGGUCCAAACAGUUCGAUCUCGAGACUUUUGGCGCAGAUCUUGAGUUUUUUAUCUCGGGACCGAGUCCUGAAGAUGAGACGAUCCGUGAACAUUGGACAUGCUGCGGUCGCCGCGGGCACCGGUCUCCUGGCCGUCGAGACCAGUUCGGGCCGAGCGCGUCUGGCCCCCGGAGAGACCGGUCCGCGCGGCGAGACCGGUUCGUGCCGACGUUUAUUUUCGGAGGGCAGGCUGAUGAGAACCAGGUCAGGUGGAGGAACGUCCUCUGGCGAAAUCGCCAGACCGGGCUGAUGUGAUUUGAGUUUUUGAGGGGCUAUGUGGAUUUUUGUAUCUUUAGAGGCUAUAAGGCAGCCUUCGUCCUCUUCUCACUCUCAUUUCUCUUCCUCAACAUCUUUCUACACUUCUAUGAGAGAGAAAGGGAAGGAAGAAGAGAAGGAGAAGGAGGGAGAAGAGUGCUUGGAGGCCAUGAGCACCUUUUCCUUUUUCCACUUUGGAGAGCUGAGCUCGGUUGAUUUUGGAGAUCUAAUCAAAGCCUACUUGUUUUGAGCUUGGUUGAGCUUCUCUUUAGUUGGUAGCAUGUAAUCCCAUUUUUACAUGCUUUCUAGGUUUUACUAAGAUAAACCCUAGAUUUUUUGAAUUGAGUCGUUUAUUUGGGGUUUUAUUGAAUUUGGGCUUGGCAACCAAAUUGGUUAGAACCUUUGUUAGGUUUAGUUGAGGAUCUAACUCCCAUUUGGAGUAUUUAUAGCCUUCUUCGCAAUUCGCGUUAAGUUUUUCCCAACCUAGCUUGGUUGGUUAAUGAUUAGCUAUUCGCUCUUCGUUUCGUUUGGGUGACCCUAUUUUUGAUGUUUCUAGGGUACUAGGGAGCUUGUGGAUAUCUUCGUUCGGCGAAACGAAGAAGUCGAUUCUUUUGGUGGGUUUGACUUCAUGAAAAUGGGGCAAAAUGGCCCCUAUGCCUUCUAACCCUUUUGUAAAGUAUUUUUGAAUGCAAAUUCAUGCUAAACAUGAUUUAUAUAAAUUUUAGAAUACUUAACAUGCAUGCCUCAUGUAUCGUAAAAUUUGUUCUCCAUACAGUAGGACUAUAUGCGUAGAUUGCAUGUAUUGUGGAUAGUGCUUGGUUUUGCAAGUUGAGAACAUGUCUCCAUGCUAGAGUUGAGUGAAUUAUGCAUCACGAACAUAUUAAUGCCAUGCUUGGAACUCGUUGAACAAAAGUGUCAUCAAGGGGCACUUGAAACUAGUAAACUAUUAAAUUGCAAUAUAGAGACAUGUUGAUAGGCCACUACAUAUCUGCUACAUUCCAUGUUAGAGACAUGAUGACAUAAAGAUAGACCAUUGAGAUACUUGAUAUAUUCCAUGUUGUUAGACAUGAGGACUUGGUUCUUGAGACGGAUCAUUGCUUGCUUGCCAUUGUGCUCAUUCGCACAUGCUUGUGAGGGUCGCUCCCUACAAGCCGGCACUCCGGAGAUAGCCAUCGCGACACAUGCUCGCCGUGCGGGAUUGGGCGCCGAAGUGGAUUGCCGUGGGGGAGGCUCAUCCCUAGAGUGGGGAUGUUGACUACCACGAGGCCAUUAGGCACGGCGCAGGCCAGACAGCCUUCGGGUGGGUCUUAUAUGAUUGGGACUUAGUUACGGAAUGUGCUUUGUGAACUUUAAAACUAUUAAAGUGGAUUUGGACUAGAAUAGUAAACAAUGACAUCCCUACUAUUUUUGCAUUGAGAACAUUGGAUUGGUUGCAUUCCUACGCUUAUGCAUGUCAUACCCAUCCAUGUACAUUCAUGAUAUAGUUGCUUUAUUACUUAUGCCAAUCAUGCUAAAUGGAGACUCUAUGUUAUAGUAAGUCACUUUAUGCUUGCCUUUUUAUUAUUACAUUGUUAGUCACUGACCUCUUCUUGUAGCUUUUGGGCCUUGUGGCGCAGUUCACUGAAGUCAGUAAUUGCCCACUGGGAACUAUUUUUAAUAGUUCUCACGCCCCUGUUUUCGUGGUUUACCUUUCAGAGCCUUCGGCACCGGCGGAGGCACGGGAUCGCGGCAAGGGGAUCGCUUAGCUAGCUAGCGAUGAGCGGUUCUUUGCCUAGGUGGUUUGCUCUUUCUUUUGUAGUUGGGAGAGUGAGAGAUUUCUGUGUCCAUGUAUAGAGACCACCUAUGUACCUACUUUUAGCACUUGCGUUUGGGAUUUCCUAUUGUAUUUACUUUAUGUUCUAUUUAGUGGAUUUACAGCUUUAUCCUUAUCCUUUGUUGUAGCAUUUAGACAUUUAUUACGCUCUGAUACUCCUAGAUGUCUUGUAUUAUUGCUUUUAUUAUUGUUGCUUUUAGACGCCUUAUGCGUUUUAGACGUAUGGCGGAUCUGGGCACGCGCCGGGCGGGCUUCCGCUGGAUCCCAGGGCGUGACAGAGAUCGGCAGAGUCGGCGGCCGAGCCCACUGGGAACUAUCAAAGAUAGUUCUCACCCCACUCUAUUUCCAGUGGUAGGUUCAGGGUUGCAGAGAGAGGACCGCGGCAAGGGCGUCGCGGCCGACCAGUGAGACCGUGGUAGUAUAGUAGCUUUCCUUUUUGCAUUAGCACACCUAUGUAUUGAGAGAGAUUCAUGUAGGUGAGGUUGGAGAGCUAUGUAUUUUGAGGAUCAAAUGUAUUUACUUUGGAAAAUGAUGUAAAUGUAGAGAACGCAACUAUUGUAAUGGUUAGUAAAGUACUCUCUUUAUUUCACUCGUAUAUCUUGUGCAUUACUUGCUCUUCUUGUUGUCGGCACUGUUUGUGCCCUCGUCGGGUGUGUAUGUUUAGAAUUUAAAGUCCUGGGUAAAUUUUUGUACACAUUCCUAUUGUUGAGCCUUGGGCGGACAGGGGAGGUGCUGUCCGUUCGGCGGUCCGCCGCCACGGCCAAACCGUGCCAAAUUGGUAGUGGUUUCGGGGCGGGGCGUGACAAAGAGGGUCCUCGUUCAAGCACGAUCACUGUCCCUAUGUCGAUUCUCUCGCCUUUCUCCUUGGUUCGAAAGCUAGCGCUCGCCUUUCACCUACGCCUAGGGUUCAAAUCGCCUCGUCCUCCUCGCAGGAUCGAGCCCUAGAUUUUUUUUCUCCAACGACGAAACGAACGACAUUCCACUUUCUCUCUCUCUCCCCUCUCUCUCUCCGUCAAGUAAAAGGUAAGGGCAUUAUCGUCAUUUCACGCUUUCCGUUAACACCGUAGCCCCCUGUGCACAAUUUCAUAAUUAGGAGGGGGCAAAGUGUAGGUUUUUAAAUGUAAGGAGGGGAAAGUGAAAAAUCGGGUUAUUAUAGGGGGAUUUUCUGUAAUUUAGCCUUUUUUUUAUUUUGCCUCGAGAAGCAAUCGAAAUUGCUGCGCGUAACCGACCCUAAGGUGAGUUAGCAUUCCAUCAUAGGCAACAUACAUUUUGGGUAUUCUGGCGCCCUAAUGGGUUUUCACUAGGUACCUUCCCCUAACUUUUGCCUGUGAACCUUGAAAGGUUUUCUCACAGCGGGAAUCCCAAUUGUGAAUCAGAGGAAGUGACCUUAGGAGUGGAGGCUCGGUCCUACUAUUUGCCUGUAAGCAAUGAAAGUAGUUAUUCUAUACUUGUAGGAGCUAUGAAGAAAGCUAGUGAAGGCGAAAUUGAAGCAAGUGCAGAUUUCAGCAUAGAAUCCCUACUGUUGGAGCUGAAAAGAAGUAAAGUAAGUGCAGUUUUGAUGGAUUGAGCUGAAAGGAAAGCUUUUAUGAGCUGGGAAUCUGUUGGACGAGCCCGAAAUUGAGGUAAGGUUGAUGAUAUUCCUGGUUUGGGUGUGUUGUUGCUCUAAGGGAGCUUGAACCAGGAAUUUAUGAACUUUGGGAACCUAUUUAGCAUGAAAGUAAGUAUAUGUCAUUUGUAUGCAUGUAAGACAUGUAAUCUGAGACCUGUUGGUCUUUUUCCCUGUUUAGAGUGUGGUAUUUAACUUAGAGAGGAAUUAAGCUAUGAGUUCUUAGUUAUGUAGGGCUAUGGACUCUUGGUUAUUAACCAUAUAAUUGUUAUAAAAGCCUUAGAAGCUAUAUAAGGCAGCAUAUACGUAGUACAUACACAAGUUGCUAGGGAUGAAACCUAGAGUGGAUUAGCUUUAAUUUCUGAAUAAAAGUGAUACUAUUUGUCACGCCCCAAUCCCCGCCAAUUUGGUCAGGUUCGGGUCACGUCAACAGACGCCGAACGGACAAAGCCUCCCCUGUCCGCCCAAGGCUCUAACAACAUGUAUAAAUAAACAAUCAACAAAAGAUUUACAUAUAUAAUACAAGGCUUGCACGAGGGCAAGCAACAACGGAAGCGAAAGUUCUAAGCAAAGUAUACAACACACAAGAUAUUUGAUUAAAUUUAAACCAAAUACAAGUAAAUAAAACUAUUACAUUCCAUUAAUCCAUCAUAUCUUUUUACAUUUAACCAUCCACCAAAUACAUGAUUGUUUACAACUUUACAUCUCUAAAUCAACAAAAAAGUUGAUACAUGUAAAUAUUGAAUGACUACAAAAUGCAAAAUAUCCCCGGUGGCCGCUACCUACGGCGCUAAACCCUUGCCUUGGUCCUCCGCCGCCCCGCUCGUGCUAGGACCUGUAGGGUUAGCGGUGUGAGAACUAAACAAAGUUCCCAGUGAGUUCGGCAUCCGACCUCGCCGACUUACCCACUAGGUCUAUCCAGGCAUAAGUAUUUCAAGGAAAGAAAAGUAAUCAGUACUAAUCCAUCUAAUACUAUGCCUGCAGAAGAAUGUCAGUGGAUACAUAUACUUAAUGCGAUAAUAGAAAUGCAUGCAUGCUCAAAUCAUAAAUAAGCUUUGGCUCUUACCCAAUCUUACCGGUAAACCUUAUUAACCCCAAUAACUCACAACCCAAAAUUCCUUAAUAACGGGGGACUCGAACUUUCCUAGGGACCGUCAUCUGGGGGGGACUUUACCACGCCCAGUGGUGACCAACUCCGGAGCGCACCGCCCGAGGGGGAGCGACCUCCCUCAAGCCAAGACGUAUCGUGAGUAUCGAUCCAAUCCUCACUUGAGGAUUCAUAGCCACUAGUCACAAUGCCGGUGUCAUGAUAGGUCUCUACCUAUUCAAUUUGGCCACUCUCUAGGCUAUACCUAUGAUGAUGCCAUAAUUGGUUAAACUAUGUUUAACAGUUCAUCUCUCAAUGCCAAUCUUGUUUCUAUGUCAAUGUCACAUUUAUUUUCUAUUGUCCAAGUCCAAACCUCACAUUCACACAACUUGAGGGUUCUACCACACAUGUCCAUUUUUGGUUCUACCAUUCUCUAUGUUCAACUACGUUAGAAGCAUAUAAAUGAAAUCGAACCAAGUUCCACAUGUAUCUACCCUACAAUGCAUGAAUGGCUAUAUAUAUGUAUAUGCUCAAUAAAAAAGGAAAACAGACGUAGAAGGGAAUCCAACGAUUCCGGCGUGCACCCCCUACCUCUAAUGGUCAUGUGGGUGUGGAAUAUGAAGACUCCCGAAUGCUACGAAUGCCGGCUCCGCGUCCUGUAACCAAGUUAGUGCCCUAUUAGGCCAUUUAUACAUGAACUAUUCUUAAAUGUUUUCGUAUCGUUGAACGGAGUUGUCCAACAUGUUUAUUUGACCCCCAAUUAGGUUUCUACGAGGUCAAUUUGUCCCCGAAAAAUUCUAGGGCAAAAGCCCCAAUUUCCAAGCCCUAACAAUGUCAUUUAGGGUUUCCCCUUGGAUUGAUCUCAUUGCUAAGCAAAAGGUAGCUUAGAAUCACUUAGGAGGCAUUCUAAUAAGGUUUUCAAGCUUUUGGAACCAACUCUAGGGCUUCUAUAGUGAACCCUAAUCAUCCACCAUGAGAGCACUUGAGCUUUCAUGGGUUCCAUGGAGUUCAAGGCCUUUAGAGGGUUCCCAAGGCUAAAAACAACCCAAAACUCCAAAUCUUAGGGAUCAAAACCAAACCCUAGACUCAUUUAUACCAAAAACUCACCUUAGCCUAAGCUCCUCCAAGUCCUUCUUGUAGGAGAGCUUGUAGAACCCACCAAAGCCUCCAAAUCCUCCUUCUCCUUUGUAACGCACUGGACCUUUGCAAAUUGCGAGGUUCGAGUGUUCGAUUUGUAUUCCGAACUUUUCCACACUUGGUGGAGGGCCAUCGAUGGUAUACCGGCCUAAAAGUUCGAUCUCGAGAGUUUUGGCAGAGUCCUGAGAGUUUUUACUCUCAGGGACCGGUCCCUGAUAGGAGAGACCGGUCCCCCAGUGAACGGUGCUGCGUAGCCGGCGAGGCAACCGGUCCCUGGCAGUCGAGACCGGUCCCCGAGCGCGUCUGCGCGGGGAGAGACCGAUCCCGCGCGGGGAGAGACCGAUCCCGCGCAGGGAGAGACCGGUUCCCGAACGUUGGAUUUUCGGGGGCAGGCUGAGAGACCGGUCCCAGGUCGGGGAGACCGGUCCCUCUGGGCGAAAACUGCCCAAACCGGGCUGAUGUAAAUUUGAGUUUUUGAGGGACCUAAGUGGAUUUAGUUGCUUUUAAUGGCCUAUUUGGCCAUUUCACCCUCUUCUCUCCUCAUUUCUUCCCUUCCCACCUACUCUAGAGAGAGAAGAAGAGAGGGAGAAGAAGAAGAAGAAGAAGAAGAAGAAGAGGAGAAGAAGCUUGCUUGGAGGCUUUGGAGCAUCAUCUUCUUCCCCAUUUUCUCACCUUGGUGGCUUCGAGCUUGCGGUUGGAGCUUUGUGGAGGAUCAAACUUCAACCCUACUUGGUUUUGAGCUUGGAUUGAAGCUCCUCUUGAGGUUGGUAGCAUGUAAUCCCUAUUUGAUACAUGUUUUUCUAGGUUUUACUAGAUGAAACCCUAGAUUUUGGGAUUCUAGGGUUAGAUUUGGGGCUUUUUGAUUUGAAGGCUUUGAAACCUUUUUGAUGGGUUUGGAACCUUUAUAUAGGUUAGAUUGGAAGAUCCUUACCUUCCAUUUGAAGAUUAAGAGAGGGUUUUUCACUUGAGGUGAGUUUUUCCCAAGCCUAGCUUGAGUUGGUUAAUUAUUGAACUUAGCGUCAUUCGUUUCAACUAGAUGACACUUGUUUUCAUACCUUUAGGGUACUAGGAGUGUGAUGGACGCCUUCGUCGUGGCAAACGAAAGCUUUCGUUGAUGACGGUGGGUUUGGCUUCGUGGAAAUGGGGCGAAAUGGACCCUAUGCUCUUUCUAUUUGUUGUAAAAUAUUUUUAAAUUCAUUUCUAUACUAAAUGGAAUUUAUAUGAAUUUUAGAGCACUUAAAAUGCAUGACUUGUGUAUUAUGAAAAAUUUUACUAUAUAGUAGAGCUAUAUGAGUAGAAUGCAUGCAUACGGGAAAAGUAUUUAUUUUGCAAGUGGAAAAUACAUCUCUUAUGAGGAUUAUGACUUGGAAUAUGUACUUUGGAACAUAGUUGCCAUGCUCUGACAUAGAGAACAAGAGUGUCAUCAAGGAGCACUUGAAACUAGUAAACUAUGAAACUGCAACAUAGAGACAUAUUGAUAGGCCACUACUUAUCCGCUACAUUCCAUGUUAGAGACAUGAUGACAUAGGGAUAGGCCGUUGAGAUACUUGACACAUUCCAUGUUAUUAGACAUGAGGACUUGGUACUUGCGACAGAUCGUUUGCCUACUUGCCAUUGUGCUCAUUCGCACAUGCUUGUGAGGGUCGCUCCCUACAAGCCGGCACUCCGGAGAUAGCCAUCGCGACACAUAUUCGCCGUGCGGGAUUGGGCGCCGAAGUGGAUUGCCGUGGGCCAGGCUCAUUCCUAGGGUGGGGAUGAUGACUACCACGGGGCCAUUAGGCUCGGCACCGGCCAGACAGCCUACGGGUGGGUCUCAGGGCCAUAGACAGCCUUCGGGUGGGUCUCUUCAGAUUUGACUUUGAGUAUUCAUUAUGACAUGUGGACAGAUGAUGACUUAGUGUACUACUUGGACAUUGACUAGAAUAGUAAACAACGGAACUUUACUAUUUCGCAUUGUGAACAUUAUGAUAGUUGGAGACUUUUACUUCAUGCAUAGUUGCUUCAUACUUAUGCUAAUUAUGCUAAGUAGAGAUAUCAUGUUGUAGUAAGUUACAUUUUUACUUACCUUUCGCUUUUUCUACUUUUAUAGUCACUGACAUCUUUUGUAGCUUUGGGCCUCGUGGUGCAUUCACUGAAGUCAGUAAUUGCCCACUGGGAACUAUUUUUAAUAGUUGUCACGCUCUUGUUUUAUGGUUUACUUUUCAGAGCCUUCCGUACCGACGGAUGCACGGGAUCGCGGCAAGGGGAUUGCUUAGCUAGCUAGCGAGGAGCGGUACUUUGCCUAGGUGGUUUACUCUCUUUUUGUAGUUGAGAGAGAGUGAGAGGUUUUUCGUAUCCAUGUAUAGAGACUACCUAUGUAUCUACCUAUAGCACUUGUAUCUGGGAUUUCCUUGUAUCACUUUAUGUUUUAUUCAGUGGAUUCACAGUUUUAUCCUUAUCCCUUGUUGUAGCAUUUAGACAUUUGUUAUGCUCUGAUACUCCUAGAUGUCUUUUAUUAUUGCUUUUAUUAUUGUUGUUUUUAGACGCCUUAUAUGUUUUAGACGUAUGGCGGGUCUGGGAACGUGCCGGGCGGGCUUCCGCUGGGUCCCGGGGCGUGACAUCCUUGCUUCUUCUUCUUCUUCUCCAAGCCCUAAAGCUAGGGUUCUAGAGAGAGAGAAAGAGAGAAAAUGAGAAAGGGGGAGGGAAAUGGCUGCGGGAGAGAGGGGGACAACUAUAUAAAGUGUUGUGACAAUUGCACUUAAGCCCCUCCACUUGUUUCAUAGUGCACUGCCCAGACUGGGCGAUUUUCGCUGUCGGGGACCGCUCUCCCCGACCAGGGACCGGUUCCCGAACGAUGGGUUCCUAGGACUUAGCCAAAUUUUCGGAUUUUUUGGCUCGCUGUGCAGCGAGGGACCGGUCUCUCCUUCAGGGACCAGUCUCCUGAGGACCAGUCUCACUGCCAGGGACCGGAUGCCUCAGGAUUCCUAACAGGCUACGCGUACGGGGACCGGUCUCUCCUUCAGGGACCGGUCCACGAGAGCACAAAAUCUGGGACUUAGCCAGAUUUUGGGAUUUCACUCUCUCGGGUCCCUUUGCCCUAUUGAUAGGCUCCAAUGCACUUAGGGCCUCUACUCACUCGUUCCACUCCGUGUUCCGCUCGUUUCGACAGAACUCGGCACAAUUUACGAGGGAUGUGGUAUGUUACACUAUUCCCUGCAUAAAGAAGUUAAACUUUAGAGAAUUAGACUUCUAGAGGUUAUAAUACUAUAGAGAAAUCUAUAGUAUGUUGUAAAUUGUAUAGUAUGUAUGUAUGUAUAUACAUUAGAUGUAUAUGUGCAUAGUGUUAAGAAGGAAAAACUGAACUAAGUUAGUUACAAAUUCUGAAUUAGAAUGGGAGUAAUUGCUAUAAAGAGAUGAAAUCAGGAAAUUGCUAGAGUCUCAACUUGUUAUGAAACCUAUAGAAUUAACUAUAUGUAUGUGUAUAUUGAAACUAUGCAUACAAGUUGGGGUUAAAUGCAAAGUUUGUAAAGAUGUGAAUAUGACUUAAAUUUAAUCCCUUUUAUUCCUCUUUGAAGGAAAGUGUGGCGGCUCGGAAGCUUAGAUUGAUAUUCCGAUGGACCUAUGACGCUCUAAUUAAAAAACACAACGUUCUAUCUUCGGUUGCAUAGAGUCGCGGGGGCUAGGUGUUUGCACAUUCCGAAACGUUAAUUCUAGCUUUUCAGCAUUGUCACGCCCCGCCCGGAAUCCACUACCAAUUUGGCACGGUUCGGGCGCGCCGGACGGACCGCCGAACGGACAGCACCUCUCCUGUCCGCCCAAGGCCAAGCAACCAGAUCAUGUACAGUUAAGCGCCCAGGGAAUGCUUAAAUAACAUACAUGAUCGAUACGAUGCACACAAGUGCACUAUAACUAAGAGCAAGAACCAUAAGUGAAUGUACAAGUGUAUAAAGAGAGAUAGUCUAACUAUUACAACCAUUCAACAUUUACAUAGUUGAUUACAUUUCCAUCUUCCAAAAUGUAAAUACAUGUUUUCCUCAAAAUACAAGUAGCUCUCCAAUAACUAUCCAAAACAUCAUCUAGUACACGAGGGUACUCUAAUGCAUAAAGGAAAAGCUACUAACUAGGCUCACUUAGGGCGCUAUGCCCUUGCCGUAGUCCUCGCUCGGCUCGCGUCUGUGUGUACCUGUACCCCAAAACCACACGGGGUGAGAACUAUAUAAAUAUAGUUCCCAGUGGGUUCGGCCGCCGACGCCGCCGGUUUUCCCACUAGGUCUAAGCUGGCACAGAUAGAGAGAUAGAUAGAUAUAUAAAAAUGAACUACAACUACUCUAUCAUGCCAUCAAUGAUGAUAAUGCAUGCAACAACUACUAUCAUGCUAGAAUCAUGUCAUGAGUAUAUAAAAGUAUAUAGCAAUGCAAUCUACAACAUACACUAUGUCUACACGAGGUAAUAAUGCAAGUCUAUUAUGCAUCUCAUGUUUAUUACCCAAUCUACUUGGUUAACCCGUAGGUUAAACCCUCGACUCACUCUCAAUCUCAUAAGUGAGGAGAAGCUGCACUCGCACACCGAGAUCGUCUGCGGGACAACCCUGUGAGAUACUCCGGAGACUCAUGCUUCGGUGGAGCGACCACCGACAAGCAAAACAGACUAGUGAGUAUGAUCCAAUCCUCUCAAGAGGAUACCCUGUCUACUAGGGUCAAUGUGCCUCUGCUGCACAACCAUGAUAUAUAUAUAAUCAAUGUUGGGACCUCUACUAUCCCUAGGUUCAUGUCAAGUUUACUAUACUAGACUCGAUGCCACUCGUUCAGUCACUGUAGUAAAUGUCUCAAUUAUUCUACAUGCCCCUCGUUCAUGUCAUAGUGCUUCUACCACACUAGUUCAAUGCCACUCUACUAGGCUAUGUCCAAGUUCGGCUCUUUAUACCGCUAUAGGAUUCUAUGUCACAAGACCCAAUCCUCAUGCUAUCCUAGUCGAUGUGUCAAGCACACCUCGCUACACUACCAAGAAAGCAUGCAAGGAAAUGGAAAUGUACAACUACUAUUCCUAUAGCGCAAUAUGAUCAACAUAAUUAACUUAGACAUAAAAAGAAACCCGGUUGCUUCGGGAUGACACCCCCUACCUCUUGGUGAUGUCUUGAAGCUACGAUUCCGUUUCCAAGAUUUUUGGAAGCUUUCGCUGCGUGCUGUGGCAAUCUGUACCCUAGCGGCUUAGAUCUUCGAUAUCUCUGCGUACACUCAUCGGAUUGCCGAACCGAGCGCAAUUAAUCAUGCAAUUAAUGAGGGUCAAAUGAGAUCAAUCCUCUACUUUUCCAAAAACCCUCUUUUGGAUGCCCUAGAAGCCCAAUAUUGCAAAAUGACAUCUACUAGCAAUUAAUCAUGCAAUUAAUGAGUUCAUCCACUUCUAGAGAUCCACUAGAGUCCAUCUAGCUAGGUUCUAAGAGAUCAAAGCGAACCCUAGCACAUCUACCAUGAGAGGGUGUUGAAGCUUAUCUCUAUGCUAGCUUAAAAGAGAGAAGAGAGGAAGAGGGAGAAGUCCAAAAGCAUCCCUUUCUUGAUCUCCUUCUUCUUUUCCUUCUCUUUUCUUCUUCUUCUUCUCUUUUGUUCUUUCCCUUUUCUAGAGAGAGAGAGAGCAAGAGUGUGAGAGAGAGAGAAGGGGGAGAAAUGAGAGUUGGAGAGAGAGAGGGGGCCUACAUACCCCUCUAAUGUAACAAUAUCCAGAUAAGCCCCUCAACUUUCAUCUCCGUGCACAGCCCUCACUGGGCAUUCUGCGCCUAGAGGGACCGGUCUCCCCAACUUGGGACCGGUCCCCGAGAGCAUCAGCUCGGGUCACGUGUUCGGGUACCGGUCUCUCCCAGAGAGACCGGUCCUCGGGAGACUGGUUCCUUCCUGAGAGACCGGUUCCCAAGAGCAAUAUUUUCAGGACUUAGCCAAAUUUUUGGUUGUCUCGCCGGGGUCACGUUCGAGGACCGGUCCCUCCUUGCCAGGGACCGGUUGCAUCAAGCAACCCCGCAACACUAGCCGAUGGGACCGGUCCUUCCCUGCCAGGGACCGGCCCCCGAGAGCAGUUUUGCUCCAGUGCAGGUUUUGCACUAUUUUUGCUCUUGUGGACUCAUUUUCAACGCACUUUUGGUGAUUUUGACACCUUUGGCUUUUCCAAAGCUCACCAAUACUGUCACACCUCGAUGCUCGCCUAUUUGGUCGGAUUCGGGCACGCCGGAUCGCCGAACGGACAGAGUUUUCCCUGUACAUCCUAGGCGUCGCAAUCAAUACAAUUCACGAGGUUCCAACCAGGAACACAUUCCAACAUACAGAUUGCAUAUGGAAAGGUAUCAACAACAUAAACACAUCCUAUGUUAUUACAAGCAUUCACAUUAAUACAUUGGCUUACAUCAUAAUUACACUUUCUCUCGAACAUACAAUCUGAUUUAUUACAAUUUAUUACACAUUUGAUACAUCUUGUUCUUUCAUUUUCCUCUACCCCUAGGCUAUGCCGACUAAGGGUACCACUAUCUCUGGUCUCUGGGUAGGGCACUAUCUAAGGAGCUAUGCCCUUACUUCGCGCCGCCGAGCCGCUCACGUGCAAACCUGUAACACCCCAAAACAACGUGGGGUGAGAACCAACUCCAUGGUUCCCAGUGGGUACGGCCACCCAAGGGAAAAGCUCGACCAAUAGGUCUAAGGAGGCACUGCAACAAGUUAGUCCAAUAACAUAUAACAGAUAUAUAUAUAUAUAUUCGAUAUUGAACUAAAUCUCAUGCCUCGCGAAAUGCAAUAUUCAAUACCUGUAACUUUAUGCAAGUAGAUUAAUUGAUUCUACUUCAUAUUAUUAGCCAUUCUUUACUUGUAGCCGAUCUUUACUUUAUUAGCUAUUCUUUAUCAUUAGCUUUUCUCUAGUCUUUACUUGGUCACAUUACACUCAUUGGCGAUUCUUUCCUAAGGUUGCUCAUACCUUAGCCAUCUAUGCCACUCAACUCGGUCUUGAGUCAAUCCUCUGCGGAUAGUACGCACACUGGCUGCUCAACAUGUCACGCCCCGAGCUCCGCCAAUUUGGUCGGAUUCGAGCACAUGACAGACGCCGAACGGACAGUACCUCACCUGUCAGCCCAAGGCUCCAACAACAAGUAUAUUACAAGCAAGUCAAAAGAGAAUUGCGGAAUAUACAAGGUUUGCACAAAGGCGAACAACAACUGCAGUGAAAGCAUCAAAACUAACUAAAUAUUCAAUAUACAUGUUAUUUGAUUUCAUUUAAAUCAAACACAAGUAAUCUAUUACAUUCAUUUACCUUCAUUUACAGCACGAUUUCUUUUAACCAAAAGACUAGUUUACAUCAUCUUUAUAUUACAUCAUUUUCACCGUACAGUUUCAACAUACAAAAGUUGAAUACACCGAGUGUAGGGUACGCCUAUACAACUCCGGGGUCGCUAUCUACAGACGACCUAGUCGCUUCGGUAAACACAACCCACCUUAACUCGCGUUCCGAUUGCUUGUUGACACUUGCAAUCGGCCUCCCGCGGCACCCGUAUCCGGCACGGCCCAAUAUUGCAACUGCGCCACAACCGUGCUCUGCUUCGCAGCCCGAAAAUUAUAGGUCUGCGGUUAUGUGCCACGGUGCUCCAAAUCCAUUUCCACGAUUUUACGACGUUGCCUCGGCCCUCCAGGCGGAAACGAAGCUAAAUCGUCAGUUUCUUCAAUAUCUUUGUAACGGCUCGACGGGUUGCCGAAUCAACUUCGCCAACGUGUUCGUUUACCUAGCAAUUAGGUUUACGGAGGGUUAAAUGAGAUCAAACCCUUAUAUUUACAAAAAUUUCACUUUGGAUGCCCUAGAUGCUACUAUUGAGAAAACCACCAAAUCGAUCUUUGAUUCAUGCAAUAAACACCUAAUUAGCAUCUAGGAAUGCUACUAAAUCCAUUUCUAGAGCAUUAGGAUCAAACUCUAGAUAUCUACCAUUGUAGGGUUUGGAGCUUGCCUCCAAAAGCUCUCCAAAAGUAAUGGAAGAAGAAGAAGAAUACGAUGGUGAUUCUUCCAAGCCUCUUCUCUUUCAAUCCUUCCUCUUUUUCUUCUUAUUCUCCUCCUCCUUCUUUUCUUUCUAGAGAGAGAGAGGGACACAUUUGGGUUCACACGGUUAAGGAAGAAGAGAGAAAUGAGCCAAAACCCACUUCUAUACACUCUCUUAAUGCCAAAAUUGCAUAUAAGCCCCUCAACAAUGCAUCUCUCGCAACAGCCCAAACUGGGCAUUUUGGGGUGCUGGGACCGGUCCCAGGCGGUGAGAGACUAGUCCCCGAAGGACCAAAUUUCCAGACUUAGCCAAUUUUUCAGCAUUUUCAGCCUUCAUUCGUUUUCGCUCCGUUUUCGCUCGUUUUCGCUCGUUUAACCUCUGAUUCUUUUCAAAUCGAACCGAGACUCUCCAAACAUGUUUUCGAACAUGUUUUCAUCAUCUUUUCAUCCACGCUAAUGCCUUAUUUAGCUCACGGCCCAACAUGGCCUUUCGGGUUCCGUUUUCGCGCCUACGCGCACCGAAACGCCCGGUUGCUCCAGAACUUCACCGAACUUCACCGGGACGAUUCAAAUGGCUUUCCAACCAAAUGUACACCGUAACUUCAUGAUUUUAGAAGUUCGGUAUGUUACAAAUACGACCCUUGGUCGAGUUCGUAUGAAGUCUAACUCUCGUAUUUCGAGAAUUCACUUCCUUACAGGCAUCCCUACAGGUGGGUGGUGCUAUCCAAAGUCAUUGAAUCCCUCUUUAUGUCUAUAUUGCCUUCUUGAGCAUAUCUGUAUAUAAGUAAAAUAAUAUUCAUGCAUUAUAGGGUAAAUGGCAUUAUCUAUUUAUGAAAUGAAUAAUUGAGCAAAUCUCAGUAUUAAGAACAUGUGAACCAUAGAGUGUGGACCUAGAACCCUAUGAAUGUGUGAAUUUUACUGUGGACUAUAACAAUAGUAAACUUGGUGACAAUAUGACUAGAAGCAUUGGUUAGCAUCAAUGUUGGAACUGUAAAGCUAGCAUAAAGAGCUAGUUAGAAAUUAAAUUGUGGCAUUGUCAGUUAUUGAAUCCUCUAAGGGAGGAUUGGAUCAUACUCACCUAUUAAGUUUUGGCUUGGCGGUGGUCGCCCCCCCCAAGCAGUGCUGUCACGCCCCGGGACCGACGGAGGCCCUCCCGGUAGCAUGCCCAGACCCGCCAUAUGUCCACACAUAUAAGGCGUCUACAAUAAAAGCGGAAGUAAAAACAAGUAGUAGAACAAAUAGAAGAAGUAGUAUAAUUAGGAUAGUAACAACCAGUGAUAUCAGAGCGAAUAAGAUUCUAUCAUCUACACCAAAGUGAAGAAAUAAAGCUAGACAAUAAAAGAAACCAUAAGUAGAACACUAUUAGUCUCAAAAGUACAAAAAUGGUGGUCUCUAAUACACUGGUAAAACUCUCAACCUCUCGCAAAAAGAAAUACAUCGAGAGGUAGACCACCUAACAACUCGUCCCUCGCUGAAGAGCUAGCUAGAAGCAAUGCCCUUCCCUCGGUCCCUGGCCUCACCCGGCGUGGAAGGCUCUGAAAAACAUCGAGAAAAGAGGGCGUGAGAACUAUAAUUUAUAGUUCCCAGUGGGCAAUUACUGACCUCAGCUCAUCGCACCACUAGGCCCCAAAAGAAAAGGGGUAAGUAUAAUAAGCAACAAUAAGAAUAAUAGUAACAACUAUAGAAAGCAUAAUAGACGUGCUAAUCCAUAUGUCUCAAGUAAGCAUGAUGCCAUGGUGAUGUACAUCUACGCUAUCAAAUGGUGAUAUGUCCAAUGCAUACUAAUACGGUUCAACGCAAUAAACAAGUAAACCUCACGAUGCAAUGUGCAAUGCAUAAGGGUAAACACUAUCCAAACAUCCGAGUACACUACUAUGCAAUAAUGAAACCGGCAAGUAUACUAAAUGUAUCAAUGCCAUAUCAUGAGCAUGUCCAAGUAAUCCAACUACCGAUCCUAUCGAGCAGUGAUUGACCAUAUACCACACCGUGUCGAUUUCCAUUUCCAAUUAGGGACCUACCCAAGGUAGUCCAGCUUGUGCCGCCUAAGUGCCUGUGGUAGCCCGACAUUCCUAUACAUGGAAUGUGUCUGUCCCACUCGACCCCGUAGGCUUCUCGAUACCGCACGAGCGAACAUAAGUCGCGUAGGCUAACUCCGGAGUGCCGGCUUGUAGGGAGCGACCCUCACAAGCAUGUGCGAAUGAGCACAAAUGGCAAGCAAGCAUAGUCCAAGUCUCAAGUAACCAAUCCUCAUGUCUCUAACAUGGUAUAGCCACUAGCAUCCCGAAGAUCUAGUUUAAGUCACAAUGUGAAUUUUCAACUUUUGCUACGCCUAGUGCCCCUUGAUGACACUUAGGCAAUCUGGUGUCCAACAUGUAUCCCAAGUCCCUCGAUGGCCCUAUCCACUAGGUUCACACAUGUCCCGAGCUCAAUGCCGCUUGAUGACAUUAGCUCUCUAAUUCACAUACCUUCUAAAUGACAAUCUUGUCAACUUUCAUGUCCCAAUAAACUUAGGUUUAAAUGCAUGAAUCCGAACUCAUUUAUACUAUAGAAGCAUGAAACCAAGUCUCAUGAAGAAUGCUAAAUGCAACCAAAGAUCUCCCAAGCAACUCUCUACUACAUAGAGGUCCAAAAUUUCACUACAUAUAACAUAUGCAUUUUAAGCAUUCU